rnacentral:lncRNA from 1 species
GAGGAAUUCUACACUGUCACACUUGCACCACGUCAUCAAUAACAAACCAAUCACAUUCCUUCUUUUCAAACAAAAGUACAAUAAAAAUACUUUUUUACAAUCAUGAUGGGACAUAUAUUCUUAAAAGAAUUAAUUUGAUUGGUUUGUUACGCCACGUCACUAAUAUACCUGUUGCAUUCUAGAAUUUUUUCUGGGUUAGGCCUUUUGGAACUAUCAUCAUACAAACUUUGAAUGAUGCAUUGAAGAGUAAGAUAAAUAAAUAUAUUCCUUGUGGUGUCAUCAUCAACAUUGGCUGUUGUUUGUUGAAUAACAAAAUGCAAUGUGCUUCUGCUAGAAUGAAUAUACAAUGUACAUUGUUUACCAAUUCCACAUUCAGAUAAAAAAACAAAGUCAAAUAGAAAAUAAUUAUUGUAUUCUAACUCAAAUUUAAAUAGUUAUUGCCGACACUAAUUAUACCGUUCUAUAAAAUUUUAGUUUAAAUAGUGAAUCAAAUUUAAUUUUGAAUAUCAAAUUUGAAUUAAUAGUUAACAAAUUUUAAUUAAGUAGAUCAAAUUAAAUUUUAAAAUUUAAAUUAAAUGUGAAUUAAUUUUAUACUUCUAGUUUGGGAUGUGUGUGAAGAAUGUUCGAUAAUAGAUAUCCUAAAUAUUUGUAGAUAGAAUUAAUUGAGAUAAUCUUAAAUAUUCACAGUAAAAAAGAAAAGAUAUUGGGUUUGAAAAAUAACACCUUGCUGGUCGGGAUUGAUUACUUCUAUGCCAUCCCAACCCAACCAAAAUCCAUUGCACCCUAUUGUUUGGUUCGGGUAUAAAUAAGAACUGUCUAUUUUAGGAUAAAUAUAAGUUCAGAUAUAAGUAAGAAAACUAAACCAAUUUUAUGUUUGGAUGAAAAUUUAAUUAUUCAUGAGAAUAAAAAAAAUAGUGUUUAGAUAGAUAAGAUAUAAUAAGAAAUAUAGUGGAGAUUUAUAAGUAAAAAAUAAUGAUAUUACCCUCUCAUUAUAUUUGAAUUUAAAUUUUUAAAUUUUAAAUUUAUAUUUUUAAUUUAAAAUUUUAACUUUUAAAUUUCAAAAUUUUAAAUUAAAAUUUAAAAUUUAANUAUAAAAUUUAAUAUUUAAAUAUAAUUAAUAUUUAUUAAUAUAUUACAAUUAAUAAUUUUAUAAUAAAAAUAAUAUAUUAUAAUAUAUAAUAUAUUAUAUUUAUAUAAUUUAGUUUUAAUUCAAUUUAUAAUUUUAAUAAGGUUUAAAAUUAAACAUUAGAAUAAAACUAUUCCACUAAAAUGGUGGAAUAGUAAAUCUCAAGCUAUUUCGGAAUAGCCGGAAAUUGCAAGGUUUGAGCAGGAUAAAAUAUCUUGGUCAAAAAUCAUUCCGUUUGGAUUUUUGUUUGCAUUUCCGGUUGAAUAGUAAAUCUCAAGUUUCAUUAUUUCUUAUAUUUGUUUUAGUGUAAAUAAAAAAUAUAGUGUACCUUACGUUACGUUAUACCUCUCGACUUCCCCCAAAGUUCCAAACUCGACUUUCAUCCCACUCAACCUUUUCUAAAAAAAUUAUUAAAUAGUAAAACUUAAAUUCUACUUUUUUUUAUAAUGGAUUAAAAUUACAUUAUUUAUAAAAAUUAGGAUUAUUUUUAAAUAAUAAUAAAAAAUUAAUUAUUUAAUAGGUUAAAUUUUAUAGCGGUAAGUUUACCACUAUAUUUAGGAGAUAACGGGAUCUACUUACUUACAUCAAAACAAACAAUAAAAUUCAAAAAACUAAUUUCACCAACACCAAGUUAUAUCAAAACAAAUAGAAAAAUUAAUUGAAUUUAACUUUCAAACUGUACGAGUUACGUCAAAACAAACAACAAAAAAAUAAUCACACUUCAAAAAAACUCAAUACUAUAACCGAGUGGGAACCACUCAACCCUAGGGGGACCACUCAACUCUAACCGACUAAUAUCAUCCUGACCCUACAAUUUUUCAUCCAAGGAUUAAAAACUUGAUAGCAAAAAGAGCGUUUUACUAUUAAUAGUAUUUCAGUCUAAUUCUAUAUAUAGUAUUUAAUUCUUGGAUGAAAAAUUGUAGGGUCAGAAUGAUAUUAGUCGGUUAGAGUUGAGUGGUCCCCAUAGGGUUGAGUGGUGCCCACUAGGUUAUAGUAUUUAAUUCAAUGGUUAGAAAUAAUAAAAAGAGUUGAUCCAAAGGCUAAAAAAUUGGUAGCAACAAUAAAAUUUUGCUACUAAUAGUAGCCCAGUCNNNNNNNNNNNNNNNNNNNNNNNNNNNNNNNNNNNNNNNNNNNNNNNNNNNNNNNNNNNNNNNNNNNNNNNNNNNNNNNNNNNNNNNNNNNNNNNNNNNNNNNNNNNNNNNNNNNNNNNNNNNNNNNNNNNNNNNNNNNNNNNNNNNNNNNNNNNNNNNNNNNNNNNNNNNNNNNNNNNNNNNNNNNNNNNNNNNNNNNNNNNNNNNNNNNNNNNNNNNNNNNNNNNNNNNNNNNNNNNNNNNNNNNNNNNNNNNNNNNNNNNNNNNNNNNNNNNNNNNNNNNNNNNNNNNNNNNNNNNNNNNNNNNNNNNNNNNNNNNNNNNNNNNNNNNNNNNNNNNNNNNNNNNNNNNNNNNNNNNNNNNNNNNNNNNNNNNNNNNNNNNNNNNNNNNNNNNNNNNNNNNNNNNNNNNNNNNNNNNNNNNNNNNNNNNNNNNNNNNNNNNNNNNNNNNNNNNNNNNNNNNNNNNNNNNNNNNNNNNNNNNNNNNNNNNNNNNNNNNNNNNNNNNNNNNNNNNNNNNNNNNNNNNNNNNNNNNNNNNNNNNNNNNNNNNNNNNNNNNNNNNNNNNNNNNNNNNNNNNNNNNNNNNNNNNNNNNNNNNNNNNNNNNNNNNNNNNNNNNNNNNNNNNNNNNNNNNNNNNNNNNNNNNNNNNNNNNNNNNNNNNNNNNNNNNNNNNNNNNNNNNNNNNNNNNNNNNNNNNNNNNNNNNNNNNNNNNNNNNNNNNNNNNNNNNNNNNNNNNNNNNNNNNNNNNNNNNNNNNNNNNNNNNNNNNNNNNNNNNNNNNNNNNNNNNNNNNNNNNNNNNNNNNNNNNNNNNNNNNNNNNNNNNNNNNNNNNNNNNNNNNNNNNNNNNNNNNNNNNNNNNNNNNNNNNNNNNNNNNNNNNNNNNNNNNNNNNNNNNNNNNNNNNNNNNNNNNNNNNNNNNNNNNNNNNNNNNNNNNNNNNNNNNNNNNNNNNNNNNNNNNNNNNNNNNNNNNNNNNNNNNNNNNNNNNNNNNNNNNNNNNNNNNNNNNNNNNNNNNNNNNNNNNNNNNNNNNNNNNNNNNNNNNNNNNNNNNNNNNNNNNNNNNNNNNNNNNNNNNNNNNNNNNNNNNNNNNNNNNNNNNNNNNNNNNNNNNNNNNNNNNNNNNNNNNNNNNNNNNNNNNNNNNNNNNNNNNNNNNNNNNNNNNNNNNNNNNNNNNNNNNNNNNNNNNNNNNNNNNNNNNNNNNNNNNNNNNNNNNNNNNNNNNNNNNNNNNNNNNNNNNNNNNNNNNNNNNNNNNNNNNNNNNNNNNNNNNNNNNNNNNNNNNNNNNNNNNNNNNNNNNNNNNNNNNNNNNNNNNNNNNNNNNNNNNNNNNNNNNNNNNNNNNNNNNNNNNNNNNNNNNNNNNNNNNNNNNNNNNNNNNNNNNNNNNNNNNNNNNNNNNNNNNNNNNNNNNNNNNNNNNNNNNNNNNNNNNNNNNNNNNNNNNNNNNNNNNNNNNNNNNNNNNNNNNNNNNNNNNNNNNNNNNNNNNNNNNNNNNNNNNNNNNNNNNNNNNNNNNNNUGUCAGUGCGAUUAAGGUGCGUAUAAAGUAAUAACUUUAUUGAUUCUUCUUUCAUUAUUGUUAUAUGCAAUAUAUUUGAUGAAAUUAUAAGUUUUACUACAUCUAUACAUAUAUCUGUUUCAUCUCUUCUAUUGUAUAUAUAGUGAUAUAUAUUAUUUUUGUUUAUUAAUUUAUCAUAGCUAGCCAGUCAAAAAGUUUUAAAAUUUUUAUGUUAUUAAUUUUUUGUCUUCCACAGCAUCAGUCCACCGCAAUGUACGGAUAACUUCGCUAAUUAUUUAUAAUUAUAAAUAAGAACUAUGAUUUUUUUCUUCUUCAAUAGUCAUAUUAUUCAUGAUUUGAGAUAAUAACAUAUUUUACUUACAAGAUUUAUUUUUACUCAAAAAUUAACUUAAAAUUUAAAUAUAAUAUUUCAUUCUAAACAUUUGAUCAUGUUUGUUGGGCCCGUACGGUUUAGAAUAGAAACUGAGAUUGAAUACAAAAUGGUAAAACUCUUCAACGUCAACAAUCAUAAUCGAAAUAAUUGAUUUUUGUUUUCACUAUUUUGUCGAGAUAGAAAAAAUUUUAGUUAUAAAAACAUAACUAAAAUAAGAUUGAAAUUAAACAAAAACUAUGAUAUACCAAAUAAUAUGUUCAUACAUCCAAAUAAGAUAUAAAUUAAUUAAACAUUCAUGCAUUCAAAUAGACCUUGGGUCUGGACAAUGCCACACAAUGCGUAAGUUAAUUAUUGGACCUAAUUUGGGCUUGGAGUGGGUCGACUAGAAUCUAGCCUGGUGUAGUCGUUGUUUUGACUUCAAUGGAAUCGAGGUUAAGGGCCCGUUUGUUUUGGUGUAAGUGGAGUGAUGGAACUCGAGUUCGAUCACUUUCGUUAUUUAUUUUGAUAUAAGUGAAAAAUAUAAUGUAACUCAAGUUAUGUUAGAGCUCCACUUCACCUACUCUCGACUUCCUCCUCUAAAGUGCUAAACUCGACUUUCACUACACUCAACCUCUUCUAAAAAAUUUAUUAAACAGUAAAAUAUAAACUCUACUUCCUUUAUAAUGGGUUAGAAUUAUCUUAUUUAUAAUAAAUUAGGAUUAUUUUUAAAUAAUAAUAAAAAAUUAAUUAUAUAAUAGAUUAAAUUUUAUAGCGGUAAGUUUACCACUAUAUUUAGGAGAUAACGGGAUCUACUUACUUACAUCAAAACAAACAAUAAAAUUCAAAAAACUAAUUUCACCAACACCAAGUUAUAUCAAAACAAAUAGAAAAAUUAAUUGAAUUUAACUUUCAAACUGUACGAGUUACGUCAAAACAAACAACAAAAAAAUAAUCACACUUCAAAAAAACUCAAUACUAUAACCGAGUGGGAACCACUCAACCCUAGGGGGACCACUCAACUCUAACCGACUAAUAUCAUCCUGACCCUACAAUUUUUCAUCCAAGGAUUAAAAACUUGAUAGCAAAAAGAGCGUUUUACUAUUAAUAGUAUUUCAGUCUAAUUCUAUAUAUAGUAUUUAAUUCUUGGAUGAAAAAUUGUAGGGUCAGAAUGAUAUUAGUCGGUUAGAGUUGAGUGGUCCCCAUAGGGUUGAGUGGUGCCCACUAGGUUAUAGUAUUUAAUUCAAUGGUUAGAAAUAAUAAAAAGAGUUGAUCCAAAGGCUAAAAAAUUGGUAGCAACAAUAAAAUUUUGCUACUAAUAGUAGCCCAGUCCAACUCUCUCUCUCUCUCUCUAUAUAUAUAUAGGUUAGGUCCUUUGACUUGCUCCAACUCUUCUAGAAACCAACCAUAUCCAGAAUCUCUCUAACCAACUAAAAAACCACAGGACAUUUCUAAUUCCUAACUAUCUAAUUUUUUAAAAUUAUAAUUCUACUAUCUAACAUUUCAAUUUAUUUUAUUUGAUCAGUUAACGGCACUUCGAUUUUAAAAUUUAAAUUCGUCAGUUUUAUCUUUACAGAUUUAGUUAAUAUAUUUUAUAUAAUUUUUAUAACUAUAAACUUAUUAAAAUAACUUUUUAGAUUUUAAAAUUAAAGUGCUCUUAACUGAAUAAAUCAAAUAAACUGAAAGAUUAGAUAGUAAAAUCAAAAAUUUUAAAAAUUAGAUAAUAAAAUCAAAAUGAUUUAUAGUUCAAAUAAGUUUUGUAAUUUUUUUUCCUUUUUUAAUAUAUUUUCUUCCAAUGAAAGAAAAAAAAAAAGGACAUUAGUUUCUUUUUGAAUCAUUCCCCCUCAGAUUGAUCCUAAUGUGGAUCCAAAUAAUAAUCUAAUAAAUUAUAAGAUAAAAUUUUUAAAUUUAAGAUCAGAGUUUUAGACUAUGUUUUAGAUACUUAAAUGAAAAUUUUCAAUUGAUUUGAAUUAACAGGCGGUUGAACUAAAAAAUACCUCACAUGGGCAAUAAAUGAUAAAUGUAGUUACUGCUUAGUUGUUUGAUCACUUGAUAAAUAAUAUUAAAAAAAAGGUAAACUUCAAAUAUCACCUUUGUGAUUUCUCACUUUCUCACUUUAGUAUCCCGUGGUUUAAAGUGUAUCAAUUUAGUACCCUAUAAUUUUAUUUUUCUCUUUUCGUCAACUCCGUUAAAUUAUAUACAAGAAAUUUCAGAUACUCCAUCUAGAUCUAUCUGUGAAACAACUGUUGUACUCUAAAAACUUAAACUGUUAGAAAACGGUGUUUUUAAAUAUUUUUAUAUUUAACACUCUGUGUUUUUAAAUAUUUUUAUAUUUAACACUCCCCCUCACGUCUGGGCUCGAAACUUUUUUUUAAUUUGCCCAUGACGUGAGCUUGAAUUAAAUGGGAGAAAAUUAAUAUGCUAGGAGCCUGGCGUGACUCGAACUCAGAACCUUCUGCUCUGAUACCAUGUCAAACAACCGUUGUACUCUAAAAGCUUAAACUGUUAGAAAACGGUAUUUUUAAAUAUUUUUAUAUUUAAUACUAUCGAAUAUUCAAUUUAGUACCUUUUAGUUUUAACUUUGUCAUUGAUUUAAUACAAAAAAAAUUAGUAAAAGAGAUAAUAAAAAGAGAAAAAUGAAACUGCUGGCAUUAAAUUGAUAUAUUUUAAACCACACGAUAUUAAAAUAAAAAAGUACGAAACCACAUGAAUGAAUGAUAUUUGAAGUUUUUUUUUUGAAAAAAUUAUAAAAUUUGGCAGGUAAGAAGUUCGAAAGUGCUAGAUUCGUCUAACCUCGAGAAAAAAACAUAAGUUUUGCUUCCGGAUAUUGGGUUAUUGGAUCCAAUUACUAAACUAAACCCAUUUAAUUUUGUUAUUUUUGUAUCAUUUAUUUUAUUGGAUUUUGACCGGACGGAUCUUGCAAUAUCCGAUUCGAUAACAUGUAGCGGUUACAUAUCACGGUAAAACGGGUCUGAUUACGUGGGACCCACAUAAGCGAGUCCCACCAAUCAGAUAUUUGGACCCAUUCCAACGGUCUAAUUUAUUUCUUGUAGACCCUGGGUACGAGAAAUUAUUGCCUGGACCUGGUCCACGAGUUGGCCAAAACCACUCCUUACUUUUUCACUCUUAGCAACAUUAAGAUUAGCAAAAGUAUUACUGAUUUAUUACAGUAGUUGUUACUCAUAUUGUCGUCCUUCCGCUCCGAAAGGUUUGAUUCUUAUUUAUACUUUUGUAAAAAAAUUUUACAUCUCUGACUUCUUGGAUAAUAUAGAAAAAUAUAUAAUUUUAAAAAAACUCGAGACAGAGACCUACGAGUAAAUUUAAAAAUAAAUAGAUAGAUUUCAAACACUAUAUAUAUUUUUUAAAAAAAACCAACCACUUUUGAAACAUAACAUAAUUCAUGAAUAAGUUAUUCCAUUUCAUACACAAAAAUUUGUAAGAUUUGCAAGUGUUUCAUAUCCCCAUCCAAAAGAUUCAAAGUUUUGCUUUAGAACCAAUAGGAUUGAGCUCUAGGAGAAUGGUUCUUGAUGAACCAGGUCUAGGCAAAGCCAGUUUCUUUGUAGCUUGGCUUGAACCAUUCCAUUCAAAGAGUUAUAGUAAUAAUAAUAAUAAUAAUAAUUAAAAAAAAAAGAUAAAAUUAGUAGAAAACAAAACAGAGGAGUUUUUCUCCCUCGCUCGCUUUCUUAAUGCUUAAUUAAUGAUACCAUCCCAGUUUGGUUUGACCCAAUACCCCGCGUGGAGAAAGGUGGCUCCUUUUUAUACCAUUCCUCUUCUUCUUCUUCCUCCUCCUCCUCAAUUAUCUCUUUGCAAUAGUUCUCAACAAGUUAAAGACCUUUCCUUUUUUCUUUAAAGGUAAUUUUUACUUAUUUUUGUUUGUUGGUUUUGAUUGCUGUGGUCUAUUGUUUGUUGGGUUGCUCUAAGUUGUGAUUUUUGUGCAGUAGAUUUGGUAAAGGUAAGAUUUCGUGGGUAAUUUCAGCUUGUUUUUGUACUUUGCUCUAAGUUGUGUUUUUUAUGCAGUAGUUCUUCUCAAAUUUGGUAUGUUUAAAGUAAUAUUUGCUUAUUUUUGCUUGAUGGGUUUUGCUUAUUUUUUUUACUCUGCUCCAAGUUGUGUUUUUGAUGGAAUAGUUUUGAUCAAGUUAAGAUUUUCCAGGUAAUUUUAGCUUGUUUUUGGUUCUUGGGUUUUCAUCUUUGUGAUCUAUUCUUGUUGGUUUCCGCUGUAAUCCAUAUUACUUUGCUCAAAUUGUGCUCUCUUAUGCCAUAGUUCUUCUCAAAUUUAAAAAAUUUUAGGUAGUUUUAGCUCAUUUUUGCUUGUUUUGAUCUAUUCUUAAUGGGUUUUAGCUGUAACUCAUAUUUACUUUGCUCCAAGUUGUGUUUAUUGUGCAAUAGCUCUGGUCAAGUUAAAGUUUCCUAGGUAAUUUUAGCCUAUUUUUGUAAUUUUUUUGUUUGCUAUUCUACCAAUUUCUUGAUUUUUUCUUUUUUUCAUUUUGUUCUGUAUCUUACUGCAUGGAUUAAGCUCCUUUAUCUCCCUUGCUAUUCAUUUAUACAUGAAUUUUAUACAACCAACUAAUGUUUUUAGUUCUUAUCAGCUAUAGAUCAUGGCCUUUUAUCCUUUAAAUUAUUUCCAAUUUGUUCUUUCUUAUCUGCUUCUCUGCUGGGCAGUAUUCUGAUCAGAGAAUUCUUCUGCUUGUGUAGGCGUUGUCGACACCUCUAUCAACUUUCGACCAUCAAUUGAAGCUACAAAGAUAUCAAAAAUGAGCAAAACAAGAACUUCUAACAACAAAAUUCCUAAACAACGAUCCGCGGACACCUCUUCCUUCGCCACCAACCCCUUCGAUUCCGACUCAGAACUCGAUCGCAGUUAUACUAAGUCGGCACGAGCUUCCUCCGUUCCUUCGGUUAAUGUAGAUGAAGGGAGAAGCACUUCUACCUCAUCUUCGGGCUUCUCUUCUGCGAGAAGCAAAUACAAGAACGACUUUCGCGACGACGGCGGCAUAGAGAACCAGUCCGUGCAGGAGCUCGAGAGCUACGCGGCGUAUAAGGCCGAGGAGACUACGGAGAGAGUGAAUGGGUGUUUGAGGAUUGCUGAGGAGAUGAGAGAAGGUGCUUCGAGGACUCUUGUGACAUUACACCAGCAGGGUCAGCAGAUUACAAGGACACACAUGGAUGCAGUUGACAUUGAUCAUCAUCUUACCAGGGUAUUGAUUCAUUCGCGAAAUUUAUCCACUUUUAUCCUUUUCUUUCAGCAUAUUACUGUUGUGGGAGAACUCUAUUCACAUUUAUUCAGUGUGAUCAAAUUGCUUAAAGCUAUAUGAAAAAAAAAAAUGUUGAUCUGACAAAUACUUCUUCACAAAUUAUGAGUCCUCUUUUGCAUCUUGAGAUUUUGUUAGAACUAGAAAAAGAAGAUGAAACAGUUACAACAUUUCAUGUUUAUUCCCCUUGUUUUUUUCAGAGUGAAAAGCUUCUGGGGAGUCUUGGAGGGAUUUUCUCCAAGAAAUGGAAGCCGAAGAAAAAUCGCGAGAUCAAGGGGCCUUUUCUAUCCAGAGGUAAAAUUACCGUAACAGAGAACGCGAGAUAGUGAUACUCCUCUUUGUUCUUUCUCUUGAUGUGGUGAACUGAAUUUUUUGCAGAUGAUUCUUUUAUACGAAAGGGUAGUCAUUUGGAGCAGAGACAAAGGUUGGGAUUAACCGAUCCUUUGCCCCGAUCGAAUCCUCGACGUUCAGCGACCGAACCUGCAUCUGCGCUGGAGAAAGUUGAGGUAUAACACUGCUGCAGAAUCAUCACUUUGAGUAUGCAUUAUGGUUAUCUGUCAUUUCUAAUUCUGGUGUUUAUUUGAUUACUUGGACAGAUCGAGAAGGCGAAGCAGGAUGACGCACUUUCAGAUCUGAGUAAUGUAUUAGUCGAGCUGAAAGGCAUGGCUAUUGACAUGGGUUCCGAGAUUGAGAGGUUUAUUUUCUCUCUUUAUUAUAAACCUUUUUUUUUCUUCUUUGUCAUGGCAUAGAUUAGUCUCUUGUUUAGAGGAAUAUUCUAUUAGCUCUAUGCUCCCUUCUAAAUCUAUUGUUUUAAUCAGCAAGUUUCACACCAUAUGUUUCUGAACCAAGACAAAAUAGUAUUACAACUUGAGGGACAAAACAACACAAAAUAAGCUUACAAAAUAUCUUGUUUGGUGAUUCCAGGCAAACUGCAGCUCUGGGCAAUAUGGAGCCCGAAAUCGACGAACUAAACUUCCGAGUGAGAGGAGCAAAUGUUCGGGCACGACGUCUGCUUGGGAAAUAGAUAAUGCGAAGAAAAAAAAUAAAUUUACACACAUUCAUGUAUACUGAAGUAUUUCAGUAUAUCUCUUCUGAUUUUGGUGAGACAGUUUUUGAUCUGUUGUGAAAUCAUUUUGAGGUCUGUUUACACUAUACAUCUUGUUGCUGUUAUUCAUGUACAAACAUAUGCGUCCAUGUGUGAUAACAUAGCAAAUUCUUGUUGUAAUAUGAUACUGUUUAAGUAUGAGAUAAAAUAUGGUAAUUUUCAAUUGACAUAAUUUAGUUGCCUCAUCGGCUGCGUGAUCACAAAUGGUCUAUUGUGAGUCUGCGACAUAUUUUCCCAUGCAUUACAUAGCUAUUCUCUUAUUCAAAACUCAUAAAUGACAACCUUUUUCGGCAAUUAAAACACCUUACAUUCAUGAUUUAUGUAACAUCUAUAAAAUUGAUAACUAUACAGUGACAAAAGUAGGCCAGAGAUUAUGCCCUUCUAAUAUACAUUCUUUACAUUAACAAGAGAGAGAGAGAGAGAGAGAGAGAGAGAGAGAGAGAAGGGCAAAUCACUGCUUUCUACCUGAAACAGUUUUCUUAACAACACCAACUGAGACUAAGAACUGAUCAAGUGAUGACAAUGUCUUCAUGUCAUCCGGGGGAAAGUAACUAGCCGCCCGCCCCAUAAGAGAAGCGAAUAAAAGCGACAGAGAAGGCCGUGUGACAAAUCGCUCGCCAAGUAGCUCAUCGAGGAAGCCAAAAGCUGCUAGGAAAUCCGAACUGCUCCCGUUUAUCGGGGCGGCAAAAUGGGCAGGAAUUAUCCUCUUGAAUCGCCAAUCUCUCACAAUUCUAUCGACCCAAUCCCUCACCUGAAAUAUUACAAACAGAUUUUAUGGCUGUACUAUGAACGACAAUUAAGUACAGACAAGGACUCUAUGGGCUAUUAGAGAUAAUUUUACAGGAAAAAAAUAAUAAUCAGAGGAGGCAAGCGUAUCUAUAGCAGAGAAACUAUGCCAUUAAUUUGUCCUAGGGUGCAAACAGAAGGUUCUAUAGACUAUUGAAGUAAAGAAAUAGUUGAGAAAAGAAGGUUCUAAGACAUUUAAUUUGCAUUUACAUACCUUUUCUGGAACUUUGCUGAAGACUAAUGUUUUAACAAUUGGCGACACAAUCAAUUUCUGUGACAUCUGAGCGAAGCUUGCGGUAGGCUCCAAAAGAUUCGACGGGCCUAGGAACAAUAUUUGCAGAACCAUUCUCUCCCAUCCUAUUAACAAUCAAAGAGAAAAACAUGACUUAUUAAUACAAGAGAAUAGGCAAAAAAUUUCAAGCUCAUAUAUCAACAAGAAGUUCUAUGUAUUUCCAUUAAAGUGUGAAAGUUACCUAAAGAAAGGCUAAUCCAUCAUUGAUAAGGUAAAAGAGAAAUAAAGUACAUUCCAGUAAAAUUAAAUAUUUUAGUUAUAUAAAGAAAUGUUGAACAAAUAUCACAUCUAACUCAUCGUUAAUCGACAUUUCCAUCAGCCUAAUCCAAGGAAAAAUUCAAAUGAUGAUUCUCACAAUAAGCCUUGUUAUUUUGUUGAAUCUACUCUGCAACUACCAAGCAAAACCAAGAGAAGAGAACAAACACAUAGGAUACACAAUCAAUAGGAGGCUAAUUACCUUUUUGACGAUUGACCGUAUUGUCCACAACAGGUUCAUCGGGAACUUCCUUUCCUUUACUGAGAAGUUUCACAGCCAAACCAUUCUUAGCAGAUGCCAACAAUGAUUCUUUGCUAAUACAUUCUGGCGGCUUCCUUGGAACGAAGAUCACAGCAUCUGUUACCAAUAGUGUUCGUGAAGGCCUAUGGUAGAAUGCCACCUCCACAUAAGGGCCAAUUCCUGAGAAAAGUGAAAUUAUCUUUGGUCAGUGAUACAAAAAAGGUUUUAUUAGCUUUGAGAAUAAUGCAUGAUUGCAGUAUGAUCAUAUCAAGCAUAUUUGCAUACUGAGUAUUCAUAAAUACCCAUGAAGCUGCAAUUUUCUACAAAAAUGCUGUUGAUUUAAGUUGGUCAUCCAUGAUUCCAAUUCAUAGACAGUAAGUAAAAGGAUAUCGAUGCAAGAAAUCAAUUUUCACAUAGGGGUGUAUAUGAAAAACUCAGAUUUUGCAGGGAUAUAUGUGUAACUAAAUAAUUUUCCAGUGGUAUAUAUGUAGAAAACUCAAUAGGGAAAAAUGUAUGUAACAUAUGGUCCUUCGACCAAAAUGUUAGAGCAAAAUAACAAAAGAAAAGGAGAAAUUAAGUAUGAAGCCCUACCAACUUCUGGUGCGCUAAAGAUCUUUUGUUCAAUCUCAUCUGCCCAAGGGGUAGAAUCAUCCUCAUCCUUCAAGGACUUGGCACGGAAAAUUCCAAAAAACUCAAGGGGCAAAUUGAUCGGCCAACUCCACUGCCUGGGAGCCACCCAAAUUUGCGCUCUUGGGAACUUCCUCGAAAAUGGGCCCACGAAGAUCUUGUGUUCAUAAGCAAAAGUAGGUAGGAUAAUGUAUUCCACAGGUGCAUCCAACUCCUUUAACAGCUGUUUUAACACAAAUAAACAAUUCACGCUCAUGCUUCUCUAAGCUCACCGGUUAUAAUCAUAGCUAAAUAUAACAGAAAAAGUAACCCAAAAAAAAAAAUAAUCAAGUGAAACAAAUGUUUAACAACAAAACCAAGUCCAAUUGACUAAUUGUAGAGAUCUAAUAAACUAAUAGUUGAACAAUGGAUAAAAACAGAGACUACAUGAAGAACAUAAAAAAGUUGAAUAAGGUUGGUAAGACGACUACCUGAAUGCAUUCUUUAGUAGGAGCGAUCGGUGCAUGGACCCAUAAUCCUCCAGAUUUCAGCUUGAUAACAGUCAUCCGAAUGUUUGUGGAGACACUGCUGAAACCCAGUGCUUGCUCUUGCUCGAAAAGCCAUAUACAAUCUCUCACAGCCUUAUAGAACCGGAAAAAAGAAAGGUUAACUUUACGAAUACAUAAAGGCAGUGUUCUAUUAUAAAUGCGAUAAUGGAGAAUAUUCUCCUAAAAUCUGGUGUGGGGUCAAAAUAGUUCGUGCAAUGGAGUGUAUAUAAUUAUAUGAAAAAAUAAAAUACCUGCCAAAUAACAAGUAGUGACAUAACAAGAAGAUGCAAAUUCACGAUGUUAAGACUAUUCUCGGCAGUUCUGAAUCAAAUCGAUCUGUUGGGUAACAUGAUAUCGGCACCGGUCCUAACAUACCUCAAUUUCAAGAGGUUAUGGGUUCAAUUCCUACAUCCACCAUUUAAUGGCAUUAAUUCCUGCCGGCUAUCUCUUCUGUCACCUGUCACCUUUCUUGUCAGUGCAGUUGAGAUGGUUCACCUUAUUUCUGUCAUACACGUGAGCACGCGUGUUAAAACUAGUCCUGGGCCAUUACCUAUUAGAUCGAUUUGGUGGGCAACAAAGGCUACGCGGCGGAUGGAAGCAACCGGAUGCUCAACGAAUAAGUGGAAAAUUCUCGUGUCAUUCACAACAACAUCCUAUACUACUUCAAUUAUCUAUUUGUAUUCAACAUAGUCCUCAUUUUUUCACCUCAAAUUCAAAGUUAUCUACAAUUCAACUCUCCAAUCAUGAAUCGACAAGCUAUAACAACAAACAUGUUAAAACCCACCCAGUAAUUCCUCACACAAUAGUAAAACCCUAAUAAUGGAGAGGAACCCAAUCAAAUUCAAAAAGCUGAUCUCACCUCGGUCCUAAUCGUGCGCCGAUUGAGGAAGGGCCCGAGGGGGAAGGGGAACCCGGUGAAGUUGAGGUAGAACCUCUCGGCGCCGCCGCCGCCGCUCCCGGCGGCGGAAGCCACCACCAACGGCCCAGCUUCCCCACGCAGCCGCCGCCGCCGCCGCCGCACGGGAUUCGACUCAAAAUCGAGACUUUUACGAUGCCCGCCGAGAAACGGAGGAGCUUUGCCUCCCAAAGAAGAGGAAUUGGGAAAGAGCGCGGUGUUUGGGAGAGAAGCAGCAGUGGUCGCCAUUGUCGAACCCUCGAAGCUGCUAUUUGCUAUUAGAAGAAGCGCUGUGUCGAAGAGAGACGGUGAUUGGGUGGAUGCGUGACACGUGGACGCACCGAAGGGUGUAUGUUUGGUUCGGAGUAUUCGGAAGUCGGAACUCUUAUUAUAGUGGCUGGGAAUAUUUGAGACCAUUUAAUAAUUUUUUUUUUUAAAAAAAAUCGAAGGAAGCAGAGAGGAGGAGUAAGUUCUAGAAUUCCUAUGAUUUUAAUAUUUCAUUUGUUCCCUUCAUUUUAUUAGAAGUCGGCGACGAUACACAACCCGACCUAGACUUCGACUUAUUCGUUGGAGUCGGCGACGAGAAAGAUAAAACGCCGAGUUCAGCGUGAAAUCGGCAGCGGGGAAUCGAGAACUGCCGACAGUUGUACGUAGCGGUGAACUCUCAGUGAAAGUUCCACCAUUGCCGCAAUGAACCAGGGGGUGGCCUUUUAAAUUUUUGUUUUUUAAAAUACUCGUAGUCAUAGAAUUAUAGGAUGAUAUGCAACAUAUUUCUGUUAAAAGUAGAUUUCAAAUAAAGGAAAUUUUAAAUUUUUAAAACCAUUAAUUGAGGGAAAAAUUAAUAUUUUAAAAUUUACAAAAUGAUAGGGACUAGACUAAAAAAAAUACAAGGAUCAGAUUAAAAUAUGGGAAUAGUACAGGGACGCCAAAUACAUUUCACACCCUCCCAGGCUCCCAGCGACGUCUACGUCCCGUUAUUCUCUCUCUCUCACCUCUUCGCGCAUCCAUGGCGAUCGGUAUCUUAGUACAAACCCUAGCCUCGGCCCUCGUAACCCUAGUUCUCUUCUUCCUCUCCGCGGCCGCGAUCUCGGCGAGGAGGAGGCGGAGGAGCGCGGCGGCGGCUGGGUUCUUCCACCCUUACACCAACGAUGGCGGCGGCGGCGAGCGCGUGCUGUGGUGCGCCGUCCGUGCCGUACAGGACGAGCGCCCGGAUCUGGAGUGCGCAGUGUUCACCGGCGACGACGCCUCGCCGGAGAGCCUCGCCGCACGGGCGGUCGACCGCUUCGGCGUGAAGCUGCUUCGCCCUCCCAAGGUUAGCCCCCCCAUCUCCUCAUAAAUCGGCUUAAAAUUUAGUUUUUUGAUCUCUUCAUUCGCUUGUUCAUGUUGACUGAAUCGAUUUCGGGCAUUCGAUGCGAAGAAUAUGUUGUUGGUCUGUGGAAAUUGCGUUGUAAAAUGUCGGUGAAUGUUGUCCUAUCGUGGUUGCUGGAAAAUUUUGUGAAAGUUGUUUAGUCCCUGCAAGGUUGUUCCCAAUCUCCUCAUAUAUUAGGCUUAAAAAUUAGUAUUUUGAUCUCUUCGUUCUCUUGUUCUCUUUGAUUGACUCCAUUUUGGUUCUCUGAGAUUUGUAGAAAUUGCCUUGCACAAUGUCUGUGAAAGUUGUGUUAGAGUGUUUACCGGAAAAUUCGGGCCAAACUCGUUUCUUUCCCCAUUUUACAUAAUAUUUAUUCCAAUUAGGACUACUUAUGUAGUGUGUUAGGUUAAUUUGGUGUUCAUUAGCCUUUACUGGUGCCCUGCAAUAUGUUCUUUGUUAACCAAGUGGAAGAACCAACCAUUUGGCUCUUAAUUUUAAUGGGUGUUACAAAUAAGGCCUAUUGAAUUAGAAUUUAGCAUGAAGUGAAGUUGGAUUUAAAUUACAGUUUCAUUCCAGCAUACUGCACUAUGGCAUUUGUUGAGUUUGAGGGUUAAGCAAUAAGCUUGCAUACUUUAUUGCUGCACAAUGUAUUAAUUGUUUGAUCCACUUGUGAGUUUAUUCUUUUCUACUUGGGCUUUAUAUGGAGAGAGAUUUUUUUUUGACACUCUCUAUAAAAAUGAUUCAAAUGUAAAAUUUUUGCAUCAAUUAUCUUGUUUAUCAGCUCGACUACAUUCAUUUAUAGGUAAUUCGCUUGUAUAGAAGGAAGUGGAUCGAGGAACGCACGUAUCCGCAUUUUACGAUGAUCGGACAAAGUCUUGGUUCAGUUUAUCUUGCAUGGGAGGCUCUGUGUAAAUUUACGCCCCAAUUUUACUUCGAUACAAGUGGUUAUGCCUUUACUUACCCUCUUGCUCGGUUGUUUGGUUGCAAAGUUAUAUGCUACACUCACUAUCCAACUAUCAGCUCAGAUAUGGUCGCGCGAGUUCGCCAGCGUAGUUCUAUGUAUAACAACAAUGCUUUGAUUGCCAAAAGGUGUGCAGUAUAAAAGUUUAUAUCUUCCUGCUAGUUGCUCUUUGAAGAAUGAAGACAGUUUAAUUUGCUUUUAUCUCUAGAAGCCUCUAGAUUGGUUAUAAGUUUGGACUUAGUAUUCAGACCGGUGAUCAUCUGCUUGACAGGACAACUUACGAAGCCCAAUUUAUAAGCAGUUAAUGGUUUCUUGUUUACUUAUUUCAUAUCUUUGAGUGUAUGAUGGUAAUGAGUUAACGACCCUAUAAGAAAGCAAAUUUUGAAUAUUUAGGAACAAAAUUAGGGAGUUCCAUUGACAAUGAUACUCUCUGGAUGAACCCUUCAUUUGAUAAUAUAUGCCUAUCGACGAACCAGCUCGGUAGCUAAUGUGUCAUUUUCUUUUGGCUGUAGUGUCUGGCUAUCGCGAUGCAAAAUCCUGUAUUAUACAUUGUUAAGUUGGUUGUAUGGAUUGGUUGGUUCUUGUGCACAUCUUGCGAUGGUAAACUCCUCAUGGACAAAGUCUCACAUUGAUAAGCUAUGGAAGAUUCCAGAACGUGCUAAAAGAGUGUACCCUCCCUGUGACACCUCUGCUCUUCAGGUAUGCCUUAUUGAUCUAAGGCUUCUUAUGGCAUUAAUCUUGUGGUUUCUGCCAAUAUGGGAACUGUGACUAUUUUCUUCUAAGGAUCAUAGUAAAAUGGUUAACCUGAAAAGCAAAACAUGGUAAUUUGUGCUUUUGACUGCUUUGCAUCACACUAAGCUUCAAAUAGUAGAUUCUUCUUUUAUGACCUUGAAACUUUUCUCAGCUUCCCACCACAUCAAAAGCUUUACGCUUUUGAUAUGCCAAAUGCCUAAGUGCUGGUGCUUAGUGUAGAGAAGCUAUCCCAAAAGCUAGGCCGUAGAGGCACUUUGUUUACUAUAACUUAGUGUUUUGUUUUGUUUUUUUUUUUUUUUUGAGAGAGAAAGGUAGCAUGCUACCCGCUUCCGUUUAUUUCAUUUAGAAAUAAACUUAGCUGGAAAUGUAUAUCAACUAGGAUUCGAACUUGGGUCUCGGGUACCAACCACCAAGUCCUUUUGCCACUUGCGCUAGGGACGGUCGGUCCCUAGCAUUUUGUUUUGGUCAUCUAUUGUUCUUACAUACGUUCUCUUAUGCUUUUUCUUAAUCCUUUUCUUUGUUAGAAUCCUUUUUAUCUUUGAAAUGUUAAAUACAGUUAGUAGUUUGAGAUGGUUUCUGAUUAUCACUUAUAAAGCAAUUUGUAAUGUUGAAGUAGAUGCUUCCACUGGAGAGACCGACAAAGCCUCCUAUUUUUAUAUCUGUUGCACAGUUUCGUCCAGAAAAGGUAUGUUUAGGAAUCAAAAUUGUGGUAAUAAAUUGAGAACACAUGGUCACAUCAGUCCAUGACUGUAAUAUUCGUGCCCUUUAUCACUUUGCAGGCUCAUACUCUUCAGCUGGAGGCAUUUUCACUGGCUUUCCAAACCUUAGAACCAAAAUGUCAUAGACCAAAGCUCCAGUUUGUGGGUAGUUGUCGAAAUGAAGAGGAUUUAGAUAGAUUACAAAGGCUUAAAGAAAGAACUAGGGAACUAAAUAUGGACGAGUAUGUAGAAUUCCACAAAGAUGUCAUGUAUAGGUAUUUGCUCCUCUUCAAUUCUUUCGCGUUUUUCACUGAAACUCAGUACCUUUUUCCUCUAAAGAAAGCAUCAAUCAAGAGGACAGCAGCUGUUUAUAGUUUAAUUUGUUGAACAGCUUAAGUUGUAUUUCAGAAAUGAUAUUUUGAACGGCACAUAACAGUUAUGUAAAAGCUCCAGCCACUCAUGACAUAAUGAGAAAUUCCAUUGAUGUUAAAUAAGUAUUUGGUGCGAGCAUGGAAUUUUUUUUUUCAUUUAUCUAUAUUAUUUUCUUCUCACUCGGUUUUGUAUUGUGAUAACAGGGACUUAGUACAACUUCUAGGAGGAGCUGUUGCGGGUCUUCACUCCAUGGUUGACGAGCACUUUGGAAUAAGUGUCGUCGAGUACAUGGCAGCUGGAGCUAUUCCUAUUGGUAAGUAAAUGCUUCAUUCAAUAAAUCCUACAACAUUUAUAUAUGUAGGACCCUCACAUACCGUCUACUUUGCUUAUUUAUAUCCGUGCAAAAUUAUCUAUUCACAUACGUACACCUGUAACAGCAGAAAUUUUUAUAUAUGCCCUUUUGGCAAGUGUAGUUCCUUGCUGAAAAUAAAUGGUGGGGGCAUCCAAUUCUUCAGGGGAAGUUGGUUAUACAUUAGAAAAAGAUUUUGAAAAAAGGGAAUAUAGGGACUUCUUUGCAAUUAUCAAGCUAUAUAUGUAUAUAUGUUAGUAGAUAAUUUUACAGGGGUAUAUAUGUAAGUCGUCUCCCUCUCUGCCUCCUUUGGAUACAACUUUUUACUAGAUUGUUUUAUUCCUCAGCCCAUAAUUCAGCUGGACCGAGAAUGGACAUCAUUCUGGAAGAAGAUGGGCAUCAAACUGGAUUUCUCGCUUCUAGCAAAGAAGAAUACUGCGAUGCCAUCCUCAAAGUUUUGAGUAUGUCAGAGGAAGAGAGGCUACAAAUGGCGGCAGCAGCAAGAAAAUGCGCUCAGAGGUUCUCGGAGCAGAGGUUCUACGAAGAUUUUACAGCUGCGAUACGCCCAAUCUUUUCUAUUACCAGGAAAGAUCAUUCAUAGCACUACUCGAGUAGGAUUCUAUUUUUCUUUUCCGUAGAAUCAUGCAGGGAAGAAAAGGUCCCCAAUUUCAUAUCGAACCUUUCAACUCCAGCAUCGUGUUGGGAAUUCCGCAGGCUCCUAAUGUGAUGGAUUAUUGUCAAAUUAAAGUAAAGAAUAAAAAGUGAAGUAUAAGGACACUAGGAGCAUUGUUUACUUUCUCAUUUUUCAGAGUGAAUCAUGUACAUGAUAGAGCUUUUGAUAGAUGAUUAACUAAUGUUAUACUAAAGCUUUUCUUGAUUCUGGGAAGGAUAUUGAAGCUUUGCUAGAAAUAGAAAACGAGAUACGUAAUCUUUCGCCUAGUCGAGAGUGACGAUUUCCUUUUCAUUGUUUGUGCGGAUGUAAACUUGUGCUCUUUCAGUUUUAUGCGAAUCUUAGGCUUUCGAGAAUAGCAGUUGUUUCGCAGUGUGGCCUUUGGACUAACUGCAGCAACUACUAUGGCUUCACAGUUUCUUCAGAGCUUGUUUGAGCAGCUACAUUUUAAUGAAAUUCUAUUUGGUUGGAUAAUACCUGGGUGUCUGAUCCAUCUGUGUACUAUGUAACUUGAUGGUUCUCGGUCCUUGUGCUACUUUAAAUGGUCAGAUCCCUGUAAAGCUCAAGAAAAUCGUCAAUAUAACCAAUUACAAUAAUUCAAAUGAAAAGUAAAAAUCAAAAGAAAGUAUCAAUUAAAAGGUGAAAAUAUAGAGGAUCAUUUUGAAGAACUCACCAUACAAUUUUUGUCCCCAAAAAGGUAAAGAGUUGGAAAAGAUGGUGCAUCUGCUCGAUCUGAUCUGGAAAAAAAAAGAAAAAAUGGUUGGAGCAAUCCCGAAUUUAAGACAUGAGACUUGAGUAGCAUUAUUAAACUACUUUUUUUUUUUGGCUAAAUUAUAGAAAACUUUUCCAUCAAAACUCGAUUUUUCAUUUUUUUCUCAUGUCAUUUAAAAAUUUACACUUUGCUUUCUUGUAAAAUAAAAAAUGUCCACAGAAAAGUACGGUGUGAACUAUAAUAAUAAAAUGAUCAUUUUGCUCUUCACCAUUUUGUUCCUCAUCAUGUUUAUAGGAGAGAAGGCUGAAGACAUUUUUGAUAUAAAAAAAUAUAUAAUAAUAUUUUAUAAAUGAAAUCUUAACGGAUUACUAACGAUAUGGGGCGAAGUGAAUAUUUUUAUUUUACAAAAAGGUGAAGCGUAGAUUUUUAAAUGACGGGGUAACAAGUAAAAAAUCACAGGAAGUUUUAUGUAAUUUAGCCCUUUUUUUAUAUCAUAUUUGUUACCUUAAAAUAGCAAAACCCUUCGCUCCUCUUUCCCACAACCUCCGUAGAGUUCUAGAGAAGUGGCGGGAACCAGUGAACUCGGCGCCGAACCUCUCAUCGCCGUGAAAAUUCCCCCCUCCUCCAAGCGAAGAGUCGGCGCCGACUCAAAUCGAUGGCGAACGAGGAGACCAAAACCCUAGACUCCACCCCUCGAAGAACCACAAGGUCCUCUUCCUCCUCCCUCUCCCUCUCUUCUCCUCAAAAACCCUCGCUCAAUCCCCCAAACCCUCCUCCCCCCUCUCUCCCCACCGAUCUCUUAUUCUCCGCACAACCCAUCACACUAGACCAGUUACUCUCCAAUCUCCCCGGAAGAAACCCUCAAAUCCUCGAGGUUUUGCGCCUAAUCGGCCCCCUAAAUUCCCCGACGCAGCCGAUUCUCCUCUACGGCGGCGUCUCCACCGGCAAAACGAGCACCAUUUUGCAGGUAUUCCGGUAUUUGAACCGCCCCUUCGUCUACGCCAGCUGCCGCUCUUGCUAUAACCCUAGAAUCCUCUUCGAAUCGGUGCUGAAUCAGUUGCUUCGUCAUAGGCGGAGCCGGAGCAGCGGCUUCGCCAGCUCCAAGCGGUGCGAGAGGGCGUCGGAGUUCGUUGACUUGCUUCGGGACGCGUUGCUUCGUGUGUUAAACGAGUUGAAAGAGAGAAGGGGCGGAAAAGGUGGGAAUGGGGAGAUGGUUUAUGUGAUUUUCGACAAUGUGGAGCUCAUCCGGUCGUGGGAUAAGAGUUCUCUUAUUCUCUGCUUGCUGUUUCGGUUGUUUGAUAUUUUGAAGAUUCCCGAAUUGGGUUUGAUCUACAUCAGUAGUUCGACGCCCGACGCUUACUAUUCAAUGACCGGUUCGAUUGGGCCGAAUGCAGUGCACUUCCCAGAAUACACUUUGAAUGAUCUUCAUGGCAUCUUCAUGAGAAACCAGGAGAACCCAAAGCUUUAUUCCUCAUUUUUAAGGUAAAUAUGGUUAAACAAAAAAUCACUUUUUCCGUUCAUCGGAUAUAAUUGGGUAAAUUACAUCAUUAGUCACUGAUGGGUCCGGCUGUGAAGUGCUGUCGAAUUUUGCUAACAGGAAUGAGUUGCUACUUCAUUCUUGCUAUUACGGGAAAUUGAGCGGCACUUGAAGUUCACUUCAUCAAUUGUGGAAAUUUGAAGUUUGGUCGCCCAAGUGCUGUCGUGCUAUUCCUCACCAAAAGUUUUGUGACUGGUGAUGUAAUUUACCAUAUAUAAUUUGUUCUUUUUACCAGUAUUCUGACUAUGUUGUGAUGAUUUUGAACAAGCAGUGUUGUUCUGAAACCCUUCUCCAGAGUGACUAAACGUGUCGAUGAAUUGGCAACUGCUUUUGAAUCACUAUUUAGGAAAUAUUGUGAACCUUUAACUGAUUUGAAACUUUUUCCUGACGAGCGCAUGAAGAGAAGGUUGUUCGAUUAUAUUCAGCCGCACCUAACUGCCUCUCUGAAUGAGACAUUUGAUGUUCCUGUGAGAAGCUCGUCUGAAUCCGCUAAGGAUGGAGACUAUACUAAGAAGGGGAGUAUUAGGAAGACCGUAGGUGGCAAUGAUUCGUUAGCGGAAUUGGAUUUUCAUAUGUCUGUGUCUGCGAAAUACCUUCUUCUUUCCGCAUUCCUUGCUUCGAGAAAUCCAGCUACCCUUGAUGCUGCUCUCUUUGACUCAACUGGAGGAUCCAGUAGUCGCAAGCGUAAGAGAAAGUGCGUAAUAAAUUAGUGCUGUUUUUAUUUCUGUUUCUUAUUUAUGGUUUCUUUUCAAGACCUAUAUUGUUGAAAUCAUAGUCGCAACUUGCUUUGAUUUUGUUCUGAAAAAAAUCCAUGAAUAGUUCAUGGGUUUUUGAUUAGUUGUAUAAUCCGCAGGAUCAUUAUUCAUUAAUAUGGGGAUAUUGACUAAUGUGACCUUAAUUUUGUGCUGCUGCUAUUCUUUUUUAUUAUUAGUGGCUUUUAUUAUGGAUAAAUGUGGCUAUAUGUCAGCAUGUUUUGUAAUUUAGCCGCCCUUUGUUAUGAUUUAUUUUCAGGAGCUCUCAGGCAUCGAUUGACCAAAAUGAUCAUAAGGCUGAAGAAAUUCUUAUUAAGGGACCGGGAACUUUUCCCUUAGAGCGACUAUUAGCUAUAUUUCAAUGCAUAACAUCACUCUCUGAGGAAGCACUCGAGGAAGAACAGCUUCAGGAGGGGAAGGGAAUUGAGAAUGCGACUGUUGGGUUAAUGUCUGAUGUUUUAUUGCAGCUGUCUACUCUCUGCAAUGCUAACUUUCUAUGCAAAAGCGGAAGCUGCCCUUUGGAUGGUUCCAGAAGAUACCGUUCCACUAUUGACGAAGACUUUGCAUUGAAGGUCUCAAACUCCAUCUUCUGCUCCGAAUUCCGUUGUUGUUGAAUUUAGCAUUGUUCAUUUCAUAAAUAGUGGCUUUAACGGGGAAAAUGUUUGCCUGGACCUAUCAAUUCUAGUGGUUUUAAGUUUAAAUCUCAAACUGUUGGAUGUGAUUUACAACCACUUAAAUUGACUAAAAUUUAAAAGAAAAAUCAUGAUUUUAUAAAAACCUUUUUCUCAUGCGGCGAACUAUUGAUUUUUGGGAUUACUUAAAGCCUAGGUAAUUAGCAUCUCCCUGCAUUAGUAGCUCCAGCUUUAUCUUUAAAUCUCUUUUCUGGAAGCUAACCCAGAAAAGCAAUUUGGUUGUUGCAGGUUGCAAGGAGCAUCAACUUUCCCCUGUCGAAGUAUAUCUACAGAAGAUAGUCCAAAGACCUACAUAUAAUUCUGCAGGAACCACUGCAUCAAAUUAAUUGUUUAAAUUUUUAUCUAUGCAUGGAUACAUUGUACAUUAGGAUAAUUUGAGAGAGUUAUAAUAGUUGAGAGGCUGUGUAAUUCGAAAGAGCUUAUUAGUUUCGUCCGGCAAUUUGUAUCAGUUUGUUGAAUUUGCUUGUCUCUAGACUCCCUACAGCACAUUGUUCGAUGAAUCAAUCGAUCAUGGUGUUGGAAGCCGAAUAUUCCCGACCCUUGACCCGGUCAAAGAUCUUCCUCGGGAAGCGCGUCGGGGUGAGAAGCGGCUGCGAAUAGUGACCCUCGAAGUUUGCGCCUUUCGACAGAUCAAGCGAUUCGGCUGACGAGGGAUUGGAUCAGCCGAGUUCGAAAAUCUUUACCGUAAAUUGUUGGUUCAGCUGGAAGAGCCGAAUGUAUGAACUGUGCAGGGUCCAAUGUCGGCAGAAGUGCCGAAUGGAAGAAGUACACAGUAACUGGUCGGCUGAAAGAGCCGAAUGGAAGAAGUACACAAUGACUGGUCGGCUGAAAGAGCCGAAUGGAAGAAGUACACAAUUACUAGUCGGCUGAAAGAGUCAAAUGUCUUUAUAUAAUAAUAAAAAAGAGUGUGCCUGAAGGGCAUACAGACUCAGAAAUAUAGUUUACAAUAGAGUGAUGCCCGUGGGGCAGACAGAUUCUGCAAAUGUAGUCUACAACGGAGUGAUGCCCGUAGGGCAGACAGGCUCUAGGGUUCUACUUAGUGAACUACUCCUAGGAAAGCAGUAAAUGCGGAAAAGAAAAAGAUUACAUUUAGAUUACUUCUAGAAAAUCGAUAAAAUGCAGAGGAAAUAAAGGUGGUCUUCUCAUUCAGGAUGGAGAAAGACUCCUAUUGCAGGCUUCAAAAUUACUAUUUAUAAUAUCUUUAAGCCCACUUUAUUGGUCGGUUGAAAGUAGUGAGGGGAGUGGUUGUAACCAUGAUCGUGGAAGUUACGCUAACUCCUCAUGGAAGUUACGCCCCACUUCUCAACUAUUUCCGCCUAAACGCUUUUGACUUUCAGACGCCUUAUUGCCGACUCCUGGUGUACCACGUAUCCUUAUUUCUUUGGCUCAUACGUGGUUUAGGUCGGUAUGUCUCAAUUUUGGCCUCAACACAUGGGAAGAAUUUUUUAAAAAAAAUUUUAUUGAGAGAAAGGCGGUAUACUAUCUACUUCAUUUAUUCUUUUUAGAAAUAAACUUAGAAAUAAUUUUGAUGUACAAUACAAUAAGAUAUGAUAUUAGCUACUUUAAUAUCCUGUAUAUUUUAAUAUUUUAUGUAUCAAAUACAAUAUAUUGAGAUUUUAAUAAUCAAUUCAAAUAUUAUAAGUUUAUAUUUCAUUCGAUUGAUGCAAAUACUUAAGUGCGACAAAUUAGUAAAUAACUCGCAAGCAUUCGAGUUGGAAGUUAGGUUCAGGGAUUGAUAGAUCGGUGUCUAAAUUCUGUAAAGAAUUUUGGAUCAUAAAUAUUAAUCCAGAUUCCAGCCCAUUCUACUAUAGAUCAAAUUGCAACAUGUGGACCAAACUGUAAUAUCGAAGUAAAAUUAUCACUAUCCAUACAUUUUGCCCCUCGGGUAAAUUCGUAAAUCCGAGUACUACAUGCGGAGAGCCUGCUUCGUCCUCUACUCCACGAAGUCGUCUCCCUCUCUACAUAAACCCUAACACUGGGGGAAAACCCAAGCGCUCCUCGAAGGGUCGAACCCUAGAUCCCGGUCACUCCACUCUCCUUCUUCCGCUUUCUCUCUCUCUCUCCCUCUCUCCUUCGUCUCUUAGCCAUGGCGAGGGGCCGCCGAUCUGUGGCGCUUCUCGCUCUUAUCUGUGCGCUCCUUCUCCAUUCCAUCGCCCCCGCCUCCGCCGCCCCCAUUCGCCCGAUCUCCGACGCCCACCGAUCCGCCGCGGCGGAGCUCUUCGCCCCGAUCGAUGGAUCCUACGGGAGGUAUGGAUUGAUAACUAAGGUUUUAACUUUCCUAUAAUGUUUUAGAUCGGAUUUUCCCUAGUGAUCGCUGCGUUGUUCUGUUGCCUUCUAGUAUGGAUUCAAAUGGGUUUGAUUUGACUUGGUCCCUGCUGUUUUUUCGCCGGAUCUGAUAGGUUAAUUCUUUUAGUUAAUAUGAUUGUUUGAAGUUGGGAGUUUCCUGAACUUGGAGUGAUCAUAAAAUGGUCAUCGCGGCAGGUAUAAUUAUAUGAAUCCGUCUUGUCUGAUCUCUUGGAUUCAAUGGUAUUACACAUAAAACAUUUGGCUUGAAAUGUCUUAUGUCAUUAAUUUUCCAAUUUACUUACAUUGAUAAAAACAAUUUAGCAUAAACAAAACGUCGUGUAAAAUUAGUUGAGAACAUACGCUGUUUAAUUAAUGUUUAAUUACUGUAAAAGUAGUUGAAAAAGAUUGAGAAUGUAAUAUAUCAGGCUGUUCCCUUGUGGUUUUCUUUUUAUGUUGUAAAUGUUUUUAACAGCUAAAUCCCAAUAUUAAACCUGAAGCAAUUAAUACGGGAAUAUGUACGAUCCAGAAGUAAGUGAUAUUCAUUCUUUGUACCUUAUUGUGGACUUGUCAAAUUUUGGUCAUGAUAGAACUGAUAUUAUUUAAAUGUUAUGUUGCAGUUUAGAAGAGACCUACGAGGCACUACGGACAUUUCAGAUACUCGGAGUUGAAAAGAGUGCCGAGCUAAGUCAUGAGACCUGUCUAUCUGUUGCUGAGAAAGUUGGAUCAUCGUCAACGCCAGCAAAGGAUUUGUUCUAUGCGCUAAGGAUCACCAGCAUCUUGGGUUGCCAGAUUGACUCCAGCACCUAUGAUGUACAUAAUUUAUCUCUCUUACAAUGUGUGAGAGUGUUGAUUCACAUGUGAUGCUGCUUAUUGGAGGACUUCUGUUAUAUACUUUCCUUUUUCUCAGGAAGUUGCAUCAAGACUUCAUGCAGUGUUGAAGGAUGCAAAUUCAUUGCUGGAAUUUUAUUACUCUAUAGGAGGUUUGCUUAGUAUUAAGGUAAGGUAGUACAGUACCUUUCUUGUUCUUCUUCUUCUUGUUCUUCUUCUUCUUCUUCCUUUUCCCAAGCUCUAGCCUUAUAUUUCAUAAUCUUAUUGUUAUUCAGAUUCUUUGCUAUUCUUGUAAGACAGAAAUGUGAGCACUCAAAGAUUCUAAAGUGUGUUCUUUUUUCUUCCCCCUCAAUCAGGACCAAGGUCAUGAUGUUAUCCUAUCUGAUGCUGAUGGUACAUUUCAUGCGAUAAAGGUGAUUGAGACUACCAUUAUGUAAUUCUUUGUUGAUUAUCUGUAGCCAAUUUCCAGUCAUGAUGUUCUUCUAUGUAAUGCUGAUGGUAUAUUUCAUGCGAUAAAGAUUUGUUUAAUUCAGUGUGUCCUUUUUCCUGCAGGCUCUUAGUCAGAGUGAUGGAAGAUGGCGUUUAGAUACCAAUAGUGCUGAAUCUAGUACAUUUGCUGCUGGUAUUGUUUUUUUUUUCUGAGGUUCUAAUAUAUCUAAUCUUCUACAAGACUUAAACAGUCUACAUGAUACUUGUUGCGUACAUAAUUCUUGUACUUGUCGCAUACAUAACACAAGCCAGAGAUGUGAGCACUCAAAAAUAUGCAAUACUUGUAGCGUAAUUUCUUUUGCCUAAAAACAAUAAGUUGGUCAUUUUUCUGUGCUCAUUAUACUAAUAUGUUACAUUUAAUGCUAUUUCAGGGAUAGCGCUUGAAUCGUUAGCAGGAGUUAUUUCAUUGGCGGGUUCAGAGGUGGACCAAUCUAUGGUAUGUGGUGAUUCCUAACAUUUUGUUGUUUUCUGUUGUUGACUGUAAUAUCUAUUUGAAUUUUGACGAUGCUUUUCAAGUGGAAAUACUUGUGUAUUUCUUUUAGUUCCUUUGUGCAUUUUGGGUAUUAGAUGGAGGCCUUCAAUGGUACUUCUUCAAUAGUUUGCUUAGGUCAUUAACGAGGAAUAUUUAUUAUCUUCAUGAUUCAUGUGACAAAAUACUGUUGAAGUUAGCAAUUAUGUUUUGAGACUUCAGUUUUAUGGAAAUUGUUUGUAGCCUUGUAGGACUUUGGAGUACCUGUAUGUCCAUAGUGAGUUCAAUUAUUAAGUGCUUCCACUGUUGGCCCUUUUUAUGUAUCUUGAUGAUUUUCUUAAGUGCACACAUUGAAGUAUAUAGCCAGUAGUUGGAUUAAUUUCUUCUUUCCUAAUUGAUAUUGAUUCAAGUAUAAUUUGACAGAUUGGAGUUGUCAAAAAUGACAUUGUGAAGCUGUUUGGUAGCAUCAAAAGCUUUGGUAUACUUCUUUAACUUUCAAUGUUCUAUGUUCUUGUUUCUUUGCAUGUUUCCUUCAGUGCCGGCUGCUUUAGAAGGCUGUAUUUUGUUGAUCAUCACUUGUUAGAGGAUAGUUAGAUAUAACUUGGGGGCACCCUCACCCAAAAAUGUGAUGAGAAAUUAUUAAAGAAGAAAUCAGAUAUAGCUGACAUUUCAGAAACAUGCAUUACGUUCUGCAGAAUAAGUUUUUUUUUUCUAGAGAGAAGAGAUGAUUUUAAUGGCUUUCACAUAUUCCGCUUGUUAGUUGUGUUUCAUGACUGUUCUAUUUAGUCAAUAAUCUAAGUUUAUGUUGUCCAGAAAACAGUGCUAAACUAGACAGUGGAAAUUUUAAGAGAUCUAGAUCAAGUCAGUAAAUUUUAGUGGUGUCUUUAGCUUCUUGUUUGAAGUAAGUUAGUUGGUGGCAAAUAGUUUCGAUGCAUUCUUCUGCUUCUUUAUGCAUCUUUGUUUAGAUAUCAAGCAAGAACUAGAGCUGCGUAGCAAAACAAAGAUGUGUUUGAUUUGUCGUACAUUUUAAAGAGCACAAUAUAUUUUCAAUUCUCGUAUCUGAUAAACUUUACAUCGGUUAUUGCAGAUGAUGGGACCUUAUACUUUGAUGAAAAGCAUGUUGAUGGCAGUGAAUAUAAGGGCCCACUUACAACUUCUGCUUCAGUAGUGCGGGGUGUUAGUGCUUUUGCCGCAGCUGCUUCAGGGAAUCUGAAUGUGAGUCAAGUAAUUCCAUGAGAAUACGAUUCCUGUACAAUUCUGAUUAUUUGUCCCUUAUAUCUCAUUCAUUUGCUUGAAUUUGCAGAUUCCAGGCGAUAAAAUAUUAGGCUUGGCUAAAUUCUUUCUCAGCAUUGGGGUUCCUGGCACCACUAAAGAUUUCUUUAACCAAAUAGAUUCUUUGUCAUGCUUGGAGAAUAAUAGGCAAGCGUUCUUUUCUAGUUUUAUUCUCUUUAUUAUUUAUAUCAUAAGAAAUGACCCUCUUCUGUACCUCUCACAUUAAUAUUUUACUCCUUGAUAAUAUGAUUUUGUAAGCAUUAUUAGUAUACCGUCUCUCACGUUUGGACGAACAGAUCAUGUGCUUCUCUUUACUCUGAUUUUGCUCUUAAUCUGUUUUGGAUUAAGCUUCAACUAGGAACUUCCUAUACAUCCUAACAUAACAUGGCAUUGUUAAUUUCCAAUUGCUUAUCUAAUUUAUAGAUGUCUGUUUGGCUUGUUACAGGGUUUCAAUUCCUUUGAUUCUCUCACUUCCGGCAACAGUACUUUCAUUGACUUCAAAAGACCAACUCAAGGUGAUUUUGGUACAUCCCUUCCAAAAUUUGGGUCUCAAAAUUGUGACUAAAAGAACAUAACUCAAGAAGAGGUUAUCCAAUCUUUGCAAUAGGCUAAUAAAGAGCCGCCCAUCUUAGUUGACCUAAUUGGUGAGAGGCCAGUCAAACAUUUAUUGCUGUUCAACCCGCAUCUAAUUAUUGAUAUUCUAACUACCUGUUAGAGUUAAGGGCUGAAAUUGCUCACUUCACAAUAAAAAGCAAUCUUUUACAUAAUGCCUGUAACACCUUAUUCGAGCCCUACUGAAUUUCUUAAAAAGAUGUGCAUGUUUGUUCUCUAAGUAUAACAGCAGCAUUGUGCAUUCAUUAAUCAAAAAAAAAGGUUUCCUGUUUUGACCUGAAACAUUUGAAGCAACAAUUAGAUGGCUUUAUUCAGUUUUAUUCACCUAAAGUACGUUAUUUGACUUAUUUCAGGUUGAGGUGACUACAGUGUUUGGUUCUGCUGCACCUCCACUCACAGUGAAUCUGGUACAAGCUUACAGUUCAGAUUCAAAAGACGUCCCUGCCCUUGAGAAUAAGGUAACACUGCUUUGAAAAAUUCUCGAAUACUUGUAUUUAUCAAUUCUUGAUGCAGGACUCUUUUAAGUUGAAAUUCUUUUUACAUUUUUCCAUGUUUAUUUUAAUUCCUUUUUGGUUCACAGGAACUUCAGUUUGAUGCUGAAAAUGUCGUCCAUUACUUGGAUAUCGCAGCACUGAAAUUAGAUGUUGGGAAGUAUACCUUUGUUUUUGAGGUACUUGUUGUUUGUUUAGUUAGCUUUGUUUUAUAUAGCAGCUAACAAAUAACCUUCCUCUGAUGAGCUAACUCCAUAUCUUGCAGGUUACUCUCCAUGACCCAGAUAAUGUGAAUAUAUAUGCUACGGGAGGACAGAACAGCAUAAGGGCGUUUAUCACAGGAUUGAUCAAAGUUGACAAAGCUGAAAUUGGAAUUUUAGACAGUGAUGCUGGGAGUGUGGAGUCCCUACAAAAGUAAGGUUUUCAAGAUAGAGAUUUUCUCCUGUUCCUUUUUUAUUUAACUUAUGCAGUUGUCAACCAGCGGCAUUAAAGCAGUUGAUUUUCCUGCUUCAUCAAAUACUUCUCCAUUGAUGAGAAAGAUGUUUCCUGAUACUUAAUACCUAAAAGCAUAUAAUACUUCGUCAGUGUCUUUCCAGUUAUGUAUUUGUUCAUUUACACCACAGUGCAUUUCUUUUUCGUGGUUUGGUACUUCCGUACUAAUUUUAAACUUGUCUCUCAUCUAAUUCUCUAUAUGUUUACUUGUUUCUCAAGUGAUCUUGUUCUCUAAAUAAUCUCAUUGCAGAUUAGAUCUCUCAAAGGAUAACUCAGUUUCUCUGUCAGCAAACCACUUACAGAAGUUGCGGCUAUCUUUUGUGUUAACCACUCCGCUCGGGCACACCUUUAAGCCCCAUCAGGUUUUUUAAUGGUGAAAUUUAAAGAUAACAUUGUUGAAAGUAUUUUCCUUCUUUUUCCAUGUUGAUUUGUUUGAGAACAAAUUGCUUGCAGGUGUUUCUUAAAUUGAGGCAUGAAACCAAAGUUGAGCACAUUUUUAUAUUGGAGAGUAGUGCAAGGCAGUACAAAAUUGUCCUAGUUAAGUUCCUGAUCUUAUAGGUCUUUCUUUUGAAUUCUCUUAUAUCUUUAGUUGUUAUUUUCUACUGGUAUGGUAGCCACUAUAGAUACUUCUUGGGUCUUUCCUCCUCUCUCUCUCUCUCUCUCUCUCUCUCUCUGUGGUACAGCUUGGUACUCAUUACCAUGUAGAAGUACCUUAUACAAAUUUUCAGCCAGGCUAAGAAGUUUGAAUGUGAAAGGCCAGCAUGUAUAAGGAACUAAAUCAACGUACCAAGUUCGUCGAAGGAAAAUAUGUUUACCGAAGAAAACAGCUAAAGCGAUUUGUUAUUGAUAAGAGUGACUGAACUUUCAAAUGGAUUUAUUCUAAGUAAAAUUGAUUAUUACUUUCUGAAAUCUCUUAUAAUCAAGAAAAAUUUUGAUACAUCGUGUAACAUCCAAAAUUAAUGAUUGCACGUUCUCAUUUUAUUUGCUUGCUCUAUGAUUAGUAAUAUCAUCAUAAUUUCUCCUUUUGACUCACUCAAUUCUGGAGGGUAAUGAUAUCAAAUGCAUGUGUUUUCUCAGAUAUCUCAUGCUUUAUCUUUGUAGGAUUUCCUAGGCCUGGUGGGAAAAUUUUACUACCUUUCUGGAAAGUAUGAACUUGAACUAACAGUUGGUGAUGCCGCAAUGGUGCGCUUGUAUUUCACCUUUUUAGGUCAUCUAUUCUCAUCAAUAUAUGCUUAUUGAACUGACAUAAAAAAAAUCUUUUUCUGUAAUUAUUCAUACAGGAGAAUUCAUUUAUACGAGCCCUUGGUCACAUCGAGUUAGACUUACCUGAACCACCAGAGAAGGCGGCCCGCCCUCCUCCGCUAGCUGCUGAUCCUUUAUCAAAAUUUGGGCCGAAGCAAGAGAUAUCGCACAUAUUUCGGGCACCCGAGAAGAGGCCUCCAAAGGAGCUCUCUCUUGCAUUUUGGGGUCUUACUCUCUUACCUUUCUUUGGAUUUCUAUUUGGGGUAUGUUUAUCUUCUUUCUUUCUUUUUUCCAAGCAACUGCAUUUAUAGUCAUAAUGCUAGUUGCAGACAAAUUUUUGAUAUUCGCAAUUUUUGUAUUACAGUCCAUCUAUUAAUUUCAGAAUAAGUUAUCUAGUGAUAACUUAUGAGAUAUGAAGAUUUUCAUUUGUGAUUGUAAUCUUCAAGUUUGAUUUUUAAUGCAUUGCAAGAUCCUCCUGAUUGCAGGAUAGGUCAUUCCACCUAAGAGGUGAUUAUAGCAUACUUUGAGAAAAAUGGCCUAGAUUAUGUUUGUACCAUAUAAUUGUAAUAUUGUUAUUUUCUUCAUACUUCCUCUUAAACAAUUACCACAUACCCUGAGAUAUGCCGAGCACAAUGUUCAUGCAUACAAACAGACCCUAUAUCCUAGUAGUUUUACGAGGCUUUAAGCUGCUAGGGCUUUUACCCCUUCCAUGUUGAUAAUUGUAGUUAUAUUCCUAAUCUUGUAGCCAAAAACAUAUUUGGUGGUGUAAUAUUUCUAUCUUAUUGUUGUGGGUGGUGUAAUAUCCCUAGCCUGUUGUUGUGGGUGGUGUAACAUUCCUGUACUAUUCCUGUGCAUAUAUCAACUAUGAUUCUUUCAUUUUGCAGCUGACAAAAUUAGGAGUGAACUUAAAGAGCUUCCCUUCUUCACCGGUUCCUGCUGCUUUCUCCAUCCUCUUCCAUGCCGGCAUUGCAGCAGUUCUGUUGCUCUACGUGCUCUUCUGGCUUAAGGUUCGUCCCUGUCCCCUCCCUAAUUUGCUUUCUCUGUGGAUCUUACAGCCAUUCUUUUUGAGAUCCCAUUUUUAAUUAGAUAAAGAGGUUUAAUUUUAAGAAGGAAAAGAUUCUGCUGAGGCACUGUUGUCUAUAAACCUUUUUGAAGCUGAGCCCGAAACACACUUUUUUUUUUAGUUUUUAAUUAUUAAUACCCCCUUGAACUAUUGCUUAUUUUGACUUUAUAUAUAUCUUCUGUUGGUUGAAUUGGGGUUCCAGUAAAGAUGAUUCUGUUCAAAUAAACAGUUCUGCCCCCUUUUUGGCUGUUGAAACUGCUGGUUUUGUUAACAGUUGAUGGCCACUAGUUGAUCGAGCUGUUAAUUUAACGGAAUCCCCAAUUAAAUCUGAGAGAAAUAACUCUAUGAAAACAAGCAAAAGUUAAGCAGCUAUUAAGAAAACUAAUAACAGGAGGGUUCAAAACAACAUGAACUUGAUGUCGCUUUCAUGCAUUUUUACCAUAAAAGAAUUUAGUCCCCGAAGUUUGUUUAGUAUAACAGUUAAGUCCUGUUUGUCAUUCAUCUGAGAAAGAUAAAUGCCAUCUGAGCAUUAUUUCCUGCAGGGGCCUAUUUAAAAAAGAAAAAAAAAGGAAAAAGUAAAAAACUCUAGCAUCCUUUCAGUCCAGUGGAGUAAACUUUAGUUGCUACAUGGAAGAGACUAAGGGACUGGUUUAACUCGAAUCUAUGAGUGCCUAAUUAAAAUGGGAAUGGUGCUUAAAGAACUAAAUAUAGUAAAUGUGCUACUAAUAAUUAACUCUGCUUUUUUUUUUAAUGGAACAGUUGGAUCUCUUCACAACUCUGAAGAUUCUCGGAUUCCUGGGACCUUUUCUAGUGUUUGUGGGUCAUAGAACCCUUUCCUAUCUCGCGUCAACCUCCACUAAGCAAAAGGCAGCUUGACAGGGUAUUAAUACUUGGAUUUUGUAGGAACCUGCUAUUACUGUAAACACCUCGAAUUUUUUUUUGGUCUUUCUUAGUGAGGGAAUCAACUUAUGGAAGCCGAAUCUUCUUGACUCCCAAAAUUUUAAUUUGAUAGUGUUGAGCAGUAAUUGAAACUGUUGCUGGAACUGAUGAGGAUCUCACAUUUAUCUCGGCUUGUCCCAGUAUUAAGAAUGCUUUUGUAUGUUCUGAUGGGAAAGAGCUUAGCUUUUCCACUGCCUUUUAUUUUUCUUUUUCUUUGUUUUUUUUGAAAAAACUUUUUUCAUCUUUUUAUUCUCCCUAUCAAUUGCUAAUUUGCGAUGCCUACAAUGUUAGAUGCUACGUUGGCGGCCAUUAGUUCUUAGUGGGUAAAUUUGCAUUUUCUCAUUUGUUCCACGUUCACCCAAAUUCUCAUUUAGGUCCCGGCCCCAACAUCACGGGAUAAAUUAUUAUUAUUUUUUUUUUCUAAAAUCAUCACUGUAGUUCAGCAGGAAGGAUAAAGCGAUCAUUUUUAUAGGAAAGAGUUUUUUAAUUUUUUAAUUUUUUUUUUGAAAGCGCAAAAAGAAUUGUUGUACAUAUGUUGAGAGAGAUCAAAGUGUAAUAUCAAGUUAGUACAAGGUCUAUCCAUUCAUUGUCCACCAACGGCAUCAGAGAAGGUACUAUUUUGCAGAGGAGAGAGAGGGGCACACCUCACUAGAUAAUAAUAGAGCUCCUUGCAUUCCCAUGUCCUCCGCCACCUUCUCCAACCCCUCCCUCUACCUCUCCACCACCACCACCACCACCGCUCACUCCCCCAGCCCUUCUCCGCCGCCGCCGACGCCUCCCUCUCUCCUCGCCCUCCGCCCAGCCGACCUCGCCGGCCUCAUCACCGAGUCCACCUCCCUCCGCCGCGUCCGGGAGCUCCACGCGGCGGCGCUCCGCUCGGGCCACCACCUCCACCCCAUCGUCAACUUCCGCCUCCAGCGCUCCUACGCUCGCUCCUCCUCCUCCUCCUCCGACCUCGACCGCUCCCUCUCCCUCCUCCGCCUCACCCCGCAGCCCAACGUCUUCUUCUUCACCGCCUCCAUCCACUCCCUCGCCUCCCAUGGCCGCCCCCUCGACGCCCUCCUCCUCUUCUCCCGCAUGCUCUCCCUCUCCGUCCCCCCCAACGCCUUCGCCCUCUCCGCCGCCCUCACCGCCUGCCCCCUCCACCCCGGCCGCGCCCUCCACGCCCUCGCCCUCAAGCUCUCCCUCGUCCCCCACGACCCCUACGUCGCCACCUCCCUCCUCCACAUGUACGCCCGCGCCGCCCACCCCGCCGCCGCCCGCCGCCUCUUCGACGCCAUGCCCCGCCGCCGCCUCGUCUCUGCCACCGCCAUGAUCACCUGCUACGCCAAGAUGGGCGACCUCGCCCGCGCCCGCCGCCUGUUCGACGAAACGCCCCACAAGGACGCCGUCUGCUGGAACGCCAUGAUCGACGGCUACGCCGCCCACAGCAGCCCCCGCGAGUCCCUCCGCCUCUUCCGCCGGAUGCUCGCCUCCGGCGCGACCCCCAACGAGGGCACCGUCGUCUCCGUCCUCUCCGCCGUCGCCCAGCUGGGCUCCGCCGCCCCCGGCAAGUGGCUCCACUCCUACAUCAAGUCCGACGGGUCGAUCCGGCUCACCCCCAAAGUCGGCACCGCGCUGAUCGACAUGUACUGCAAAUGCGGCAGCCUAGAGGACGCCGUCGCCGUGUUCCACACCGUCGCGAACAAAGACGUCGUCGUGUACAACUCGAUGAUCGCCGGCUACGCCAUGCACGGCCGCAGCCGUGACGCGCUCGAGCUGUUCGCCCGCUUGUGCGACCGCGGCCUUCGGCCCACCGAUAUCACCUUCAUCGGCGUCUUGAACGCGUGCAGCCACUCGGGGCUCGUCGACGAAGGCCGCGAAUUCUUUCACUCCAUGGAAAAGGAUUAUAGCAUCGAGCCCAAGAUCGAACACUAUGGGUGCAUGGUCGACCUCCUCGGCCGCGCAGGUCAGGGUGAAAACUUGGUUAGAUUAAAUUCGUAUAUUCAUAGCAGUUUAACAAUAUGCUUAUUUGUUCCAUGGUUCCAUGGUACAAUGCUUGCCUUGUUCUAAUAUAAUACUCAUAAGAAAAAUUAUGAACAUAUUAUAUAAUUCCAUUCAUAUCCGUAUCCGUACUGAGCAAAUAUGAUUUCCUAAGCUAUUAUCGAAUUGAUGUUUAUAUCUGCAUCCCAUAUUUGGAGUAUUAUAGUUACUGAUACGGUUUAUUAGCGGUCGUCUGAUCCAUUUUCGAUCCGUUUUAUCCCCUACAUAUGCGCAGGACUUGUGGACGAAGCGUACGAGCUCAUUCGUAGCAUGAAGAUCGAGCCCGACACGGUCAUGUGGGGAUCGCUGCUCGCCGCUUGUCGGCAGCACAAGAACUUGGCUUUGGGGGAGAACAUCGCGAACUUUUUACUAAGCAACGGGAUCGCAAACUCUGGUACAUACGUGCUCUUGUCGAAUAUUUAUGCGGCCGUGGGGAAUUGGGAGGAAGUGGCGAGAAUUCGGACGCUGAUGAAGGAGAGCGGAGUUCAGAAGGAGCCCGGGUGCAGCUCAAUUGAAGUCGGCAGUAAGGUGUUUGAAUUCGUCGUCGGAGAUUUAAGUCACCCUAAGAGCAAGGAGAUAUAUAAGAUGUUGGAGGAGAUGAAUGGGCUAUUAAGGGACCGCGGAUAUGUCCCUCAAACUGAGCUGGUAUUGCAUGAUCUGGGGGAGGCCGAGAAGGAGAGGGCUCUCGCGGUUCACAGCGAGAAGCUCGCUGUUGCUUUCGGGUUGAUCAGCACUCGGCCCGGGACGACGAUCAAGAUUGUGAAGAACCUCAGAGUGUGCUCGGAUUGCCAUACGGCGUUUAAGAUGAUAUCGGAGAUCGUGAGGAGGAAGAUCAUUGUGCGGGAUCGUAAUCGAUUUCACCAUUUUAGUGAGGGUUCUUGUUCUUGCGGAGAUUAUUGGUGAUUGUUAUUUUGAUUUUGCCGAAUUAUAUAUUCCGGGUAUUGUACAAAAUUUGAUGUAGCUUCUUUUGGACUUGGCUACCUGUAAAGAUUGUAUCCAUCUCCUUAUUGCAGGGAUCAUAUUCUUGAUUACAAGAAUAAAAAUGAGGUUAAGUUAAACAGUAGCAGGGAUCAUAUUCUAGUUAUUUCCGAACAACUUCCUAUUACUGUAGAAACGGCAGAAGCUUCAAAUAUCUGCUUGGAAGAGGCAGAAAAGUUUAUUUUAUCUUCUCACUGUAAAAAAGAGAAAAAAUGUUGAAGUUUCAUGUUUGGAAAAUGCUGAACUCUUUAUCAAAUAGUAAGAUUUAGAGAUGUUUACGAACCGUGUGUGACUCAUUUUGGCUGGUUUGGUUUAGGUUUUUUUGUAGUUCGGUUUGGUGAAUUUUGAAUACAUCGAUUUCCUCUCUCAAGUUCUGACAUUUAUAAAGAAGAAAACUUCUAAAAAAAAAGAAAAGAAAAGAGUACACUAAGUUGGAUUCGGCAACGAAAUAGCUGCGAUCGCCGAAUUCAGCAGCGAAAAACACUUCCCCUUGGGUGAAAAUUGCCGACUCCGGCCACGCUCAGCUUAAAAAAAUGAUAUAUUUUUUUUAUCCUGUUCCCGUACUUAAAAUUUAUGCAUAAGACACUCAAUUAUUCUUAUUUACACCAGAGUCCCUUUCCUUCCUUUCUCUCCUUACCGCUCCGCUCCCUUUUUGCCCUCGACGUGCCAAAUAAACUGAGGCGGUUUGUUUUAUUCCCCCAUUUUUUUUAUUUUUAGUUUUUUUUCCUUGUCUUGCACUUGAUCUAUUUGCUUUAUUGCCUCUACCAUGUUCCUACACUAAGUACAUUUGAUAAUUUUUAACAAAUUUUUUUUAUUAAACCGUGCAGUUUUUAGGGUUUGAAACCUAGGAUUUGAAGCGCUUGAUGUAGAGGUACUCAUAACGUUUCUUUUCUAGAUUUUUUUUUUCUUAAUAUAUAAACGUGUCUGUUGUGUGUGUGUGUGUAUGUGUGAAAUUACCGAAAAAAUUUAUUUUGAUAUGAUUUUUGGUGACUUAAUCGGUCUUAGGAAUGGACAUGGAUAGUUUAACUUAUAGUCGUUUUUGUGAUUAUUGCGAGAUUACAUAGUAGGCUCAAGAAUAAAUUUUAAGUGUGGAUGUUCACUAUUUACAACGGAGAAUGGCUCAGUUCAAUUUUCUAUAGCAUCUCUUCCAUGCACGUAACCUGUUCGAUGAAUUGCCUCUUUAAGGUUUUAUAGCCUUUCUUACCAUAAUUUGUUUCACUCCAUUUCUUCAUGGUUAGAAAAACCGCAUUUCUUGAAUUUUGGAAAAAAAACAAAAAAAAAAGAAUGUGAGCUAUCAUAUAUAUAGGCGAGCAUAUCUUUCACACUAUGUUUUCGCUCAUAAUAUGUGGUUUAAUUGUGUAAGAGCGUUCAUAGAUGAAGUUGGUGAAGCCAAAAGAGCUGUUUCAAAAGGUGUACAAGUCCGGUUCGGCGGAGCAAGGUCGGUUGCUUGGAUUGGAUGUUGGAAAUAAGUAUGUUGGUUUGGCCAUUUCUGAUGCUUGCAACAAAAUUGCAUCACCUGUAAGGUAUGAAUCGCUGGUUAUCAUUUUACAUAAUUGAGAUCUAAGAAGUUAUGUUUACCUCAAGAAACUGAUACCUGGAAUCAUGAGCAGAGUGCUUCAUAAAUUAGUUUAUUGUCAAAAUAGAUGCCUUCAGAUUUAGCUUAUAAGUUCAUGACGAUUGAAGAAAUUUUAGAGUAUCUGUGCUGUCAAAUGUGAGCCCAUCGUAAAAUUACCCAUGACUUAACCAGGAAAGGCACUUUUGUAAUGUUUGGCUUGCUUGCGGUCACAGCGAUAUAGCUUUGGCUUUUGAUCUGAUGGGAAUGCUUUCAAAAAGUUAUUGAUUAAUAGUUAGCUUUGGAUUCUAUACGUUUUGUGGCAUUUCACUGCUUGUAAUUUUCCGUAGUCAUGUUGUUAAUACUAUGUGAUGCAGUGUCUUGGUUAGGAAGAGGACAAAUAUUGACUACAUGGCCGGGGACUUCAAAACACUGGUAUGCUGAAUAUCUAAAAUACAAAAUGGAUUACAUCCUCUCGUUUUAAGCAGAAAAUAGACCGAAUAAAAGCUUGGGCUAUGUCACAAGCAGCACUAAUACCAAUUUUACCAAAUCACUUUUCUUGAGCCUAAUGGGCCAACUUGGCCUUCUUUUUGGGCCCAAAUAUAAGACCAAGUCUGCCUCAAUAAUGAACUUCAAGUCCGUUCUUCAACAGACUCAAUCCUAUAAACAGAAAAUGGAAGGAUGGAGGGCAAUAGCUUCUGCCGCACAGUCAUACGCAUGCAUAUCUAUGUAUGAAUGUACCUAUAAUCAAGUGUUCUGCAAGUAUUAGAACAAAGUGAAUUUUCUUCUAUUAUUUUAUGUUGCAAAACAUGAUUUUAUUUUUUCCUGCUCUUAACUUGUUAAACAAAUCUAUUCAUGACCUAUGAAAUCAAUAAGUUCAUGUACGAGGACAUCCUAAUAAUGCUGAUUAUGUUAUCGAAACAGAAUCUCUUACUGAUUCACUGCUUGCAUUUUUUUUUUUUUCAUUUUCCCCUUGAAUAUGUUCAAAAUUUAAAUAACUUCUAUUAGUUCUCUUCACAGUUAUUCGACAUGAAAAUCUAUUAAUCGAUAUGAUGCUUCUGUGAAAUAGGUUUCACAGUUUUCUCUCGUUGGCCUUGUCGUUGGUUACCCGUUCAGUUUACAGGGUCAAGCUAAUUUUGAGGUUGGUUAUUAUAUUGGUGAAUUGUUGUUAAACCCUGUGACUCGUCCUUAAUUACUACUGUCUCUGCAGAGCAGGCUGUUCAAGUGAAGCUUUUUAUCGAAGAUCUUCGCAAAACAGGAAAGCUAGAAGGCCUCAGCUACACAUAUUGGGAUGAAAAUUAUACUUCAAAGGUGAUGAGCAAUCAAGUUGAUUGCUGCUUUAAUUUUUCUACAAUAAGUUGAUUGCAAAUUUAGUCCCUGAACUUUUGAUUCUAAUUGGAGUUCGGAUUUUAACAAUUUAGUAGCUGAAAUUUGUUGGUAACAAUUUAGUACUCCCUGUUAGACUACUAUCUGCAAAAAAAACAUCAGAUCAGUCAUCAGCAGCACUUUUAAAAUUGAAACCUCAUGAACAUGGGUAGCUAAAUGAGGCCUAACCGAAGGAUUUAAUCCUCAUACAGGACAGAUUUUAGUAACUAAUCUAUUGAAAUUCUAAAAGGAUCUAGCAGGGUUAAACUCGAAGGGAAAUUUUUUAAUCUUAAUUUUGUUUGUUUUUCAGUGUGUGGAAGCCCUUUUAGCUCCUCUCAAUUUUAACCCAGUAUUGAGCAAAACAAUGACAGACAAAUUCGCCGCAGUUGGCAUACUACAGGUAACUUUGGGUGACUGCUUAAAAGUUGGUGUGUUAGAACUGAUAACUUUGAUCCUUCUCUAAUGUAUGAUUUUUGGCUUCUCAUGUUCAAUAAAUUAACCGAUAUAAUCGCGCACUUCUUUUGUCUCGUAAGUUCAUACUUGGUCUAACUUGGAAUAACUCAUCUACCUCUAGAAACCAAUAUGAGUUUUUGAGCCUUCUACUUCUAUUGCAGUAAGAAGCUCUCGGAACAAUUUAAUAAGAAAAUUGUUAAUGCUUCUUCAAACAGCUCUAUGUAAACAACGCUUUUGCAUAAGAUCUAGAAAGGCGCAAUAGGCCCUUUGAAUUCAUUGAAAACAGCAGUAUUUAAUGAGGUUUAUGUCUGAUGAGUUUAUUGACAGGGUUACCUCGACAACAUGCAUAGGGAGUCGAGGUCGGGAGACAUGUCUGAAGAAUAAAUCAUGUUGGCUAAGAAUGCUUGUCUAAAGAGCACAAGUGGGCAUAGAAGCAGCUUCCUCAUGGAUCUAAUGUAAUGGGCCACAAAAUUUUUGUUAUAGCAUCUUACACUCUAUGUAACUCAGAAUUCUAUUUUGACCAGACUUGUUAGUUUUGAAAUGUAAUUUAGAGUUCAUGUUGUAGAAAAUUUGUCGAGUAAACUGCAGUGAGGAUCAUCACCCUUUAACAUUCGCAUUUGGUUGCAAUUGUAACUCUGAUUCUCACCAUUAAAUUGCAUGGAUCAAAAUGUUUACGGUAUCGUCAUGUAACUGCCGCUGAGCAGAAUUAACCCAAACAAAUAGUCAUUUAGGUGGCUAUUACAUGGUAAUUACUCAAACAUCUCAGUCCAUUUUAAGAGAGAAAUUUAACAUGCAAGGCAUGAAGGGAUUUAGCUGUAACUAUCCAAUUAACAGUUGAGGACCACCUCUGACAAGAAUUUGAGCUUCUUGUGUUAUUCAUCAAAUGCGUGCGCGCGUGCGCGUGCGCAUGCGUGUGCGACGAAAUCUAUGUGCACGCAAUUAUCUACACUUCUUUCAAAUUUCAACAAGAACUUAGUCUACAAUUGCAGCUGAACCUUUCGUCUUGCGACGGGAAACAUCAUAUGAUUGGAUAUCGAUUUCAGAAGCUAAAUGUUGCUUUCCAUUUAAGGUUUUCUAUCAUAUGAACUAAAAUUUCUCAUUAGAUAGCUAAUAGGAAGGGAUAACUUGGUCCAAAAGCAGCGGCUGAAGCACUAAUUAGUCUUAAUCUACUGCUUUAGUCUUGAACAACUUUUAGGGAUCUCUCUUAUCACUUUGACAAAGAGAAGCAGUUUCAUUAUUUGUCUCAGAUUACUGGUACAAAUUGACUUCUUUGUGUAGUCAUUGUUGCACUUGUUUGUCUCCAUUAUCUUAUCUUCAACCCUAAAAGCAGCUUUGAAGAAGCUUCUGUUUUAAGGUUGCAAGUAAGCUCAAUUAUGGUCUAGAGAGAGAGAGAGAGAGAGAGAGAGAGAGAGAGAGUCAAAAGUUUGUACAAAAGUACAGUUGAAUAAAAUUGUUCAAAAAAGUCCUAACAAAUAUCCUUUUUUUUUAAAAAAAAUCAUCUAAUUAGUUUUUACUCGUUUAAACUUUUUCAUCUUGUACAAAAGAUUGAGAUUUCUUAACCAAAUAUUUGACUUUGUCUUUGAACCACGAGAUUAAAAACCUAUACCUAUUGGGUAGAUAAAAUAGUUAUAUUCAAAAACGUUUUUUCUGUAUAAUACUUACACCAAAUAAGUUAGCAAAAUAGAAACACCAUCAUCUAGCAUAAAAUGUUUAAUUAACAAUCUUUUCUCUUUCAACAUUCUUUGUUACUCAAGAUUAAUUUCUCCAGUAUAAUGCAAUUAUAAUAUGAUUCUUGACAAUUUUUUCGUCAUUUUUGUCGGAUCGUUGGCGUUAACUAUUAAUCUCAAAAACUUGAACGGCUAGAAAUAUACAAUUAAUUCAUUUAUAGCGGACAGACACAGCAUCUACGGAUUUCGUUUGUGACUCGGCUCAACCAAUCUCACGUCCCUUCGAAUAUGACUCGGCCCAAUCCUACCUCCCGCCACCGGACACGAUAAAUUCACAGCAUGGGAGAAUCAAACCCGUGACCUCUAUCUCAUAUACCAUUUGUCGAAUUGCUGGCGCUAACUAUUAAUUCAAAAAACUCGAGCUUUUAGAAAUAUAGAACUAAUUCACUUAAAAAAUACAGACACAGUACCUACGGGUCUUGAUUGUGACUCAGUUUAAUCAACCCCACACCGCGCCUCAAACAUGACUCAACUAACCCGACCUCCUGCAAUUUUGAACAUGACUCGAUCCAACUUAGCCUCCCGCCAAAGAGCAGGACGCUAGCUGGCCCCCUGUAAGCCAACACUCCUAUAUAUCUCUCUAUCUUCCUAUCGAGGAUCGAAAAGUGUCUCCGAUCGGACGGCCAACGCGUCGCGAUCAUCAUCCCCAUAUUAUAUCCCUUGUUGGUGUGACAUUGCAUGCACCUUUCGAUCAACAUUACCACAAAAGGCUUCUCUCUUCUUGCUUGCCGACUGAGAACACUACGUAGUACACCCUCCCCCCCUUUUUGUGAAAUUAUUCAAGUUGCUCUUUUUUAUUAUUUUAUAUAGUAGAGUUGCAUUUCAUUUCUAUGUGGGACAAACUGAGCAAGUAGGACUUAGAGAAAAGAAGAGAAUCACUUUUCUUUAAUUUGGACCACCAUGUACGUAUAUUAGUCCCUGUUGAUUAAUUGGUCCCGUUUUAGCCUACAAUAACUGGCAUUUUAUUUAGCACGUCACGUUUCCUGCAGCUUUAGUGGUUUGUUGACAACAACAUGGUACAUCUUAAUUAUAUCUAAUAAUACAUAACAAGUGAAGAGGCCCACGCUUCGCACCGGAAGGUGCCCACGCUUCGCAGCGGAUAGAAACUAAAAAAAUAAUUAAUAAUAAGAGAAUAUUAGAUAUUUUUUUAUAUAUCUCAUUUGCAACACCCACCAAAGGUUCGUCAUUAUUGGCAGCGGAAAUGGGCCCGACGAUGUCUUCUCUAGUGAUGGCGAUGGUGACAACAACAAUAAUCUCUUCGGCCGGAUGGAGACGAGAGGUGGGCGCACAUUAGUGACAAAAAAAAUGAGAGGCGAUAGUAUUCAGAAAAAGAUGAGGGAUAGAGAGGUGAGAAUUGUAUAUGGCAGCAGACCGUUUAGAUGGAUUAAUUAGAAAUCUAGUAAAGGGAAUGAGAAGAGUCAGGAUGAAUUAAUUAGAAAUAAAAAGGUAAAAAUUAUAAAUGACAGUGAGAUCAUUUAAAUAUAUUAAUUGAAAGUUUUAUAGUAAAUUAUUUAGAUGCAUUAAUUAGAUAAAUUAAUUAAAAAUUUGGUAGAGAAAAAAGAAAGAUCACACGUUGGUGAGAGUAAAGAAAAACUUGCCACGUAACAAAAAAAAAAAAAAAAAAUUGAAAACCCAUAUAGAUUAAUAAUUAAUAGUUAAUAGAGGGGCCUUUCACAUUUAUGCACUGCAAUAUUAUCUAUUUACAUGCAUACUCCCUCGGAGAAUCAAAUGUAAAUAUUUAAUGUUCUCUUAAAGAGAAAUGCUCUUACCACGUUUAUAGUUUAAGAAGAGGGAGGAGAAAAAGAAAUGUCUCCCACGUUACCCAUAAUAUGUGGAAGCAUAUAUAUAUAUUGACAUUAUUUCAUAAAGUUUCCACAUUAUAAAAUGGGGAGACCUAGGAUGUAGAUACCAGGGAAACGAACACAUGGGAAUUAAUUAGUUUAUUUGUCUUCGAAUUAAUCUAGAUCUUUAAUUUAAAAAAAAACAAAACAAAACAAUUUUUAAAUGACAAAAAAGAAAAUUUCGUUUUGCAAGGGCGCAUUUGAAGGAUAUGGAUGAGAUGCAUUCCAACUUUUGCGUAUAAAUAUAUACUUACUAAUUUAAAUGUACUUAAUUUGUUAACCUGUUAUCAGAUUCAGCUCUAUUAAUUAAUUAUAUUACUUUCGUGGUGUAUCAAUGUGUAAGAUAAGUGACUUUUCAAAGGUCAAAAAAUUGAAUUUGUUAUGCGCAUAUAUAAAGCAAUUAAUAACUUUGAAACAAACCAAAAAGAUAUGGAAGAUCACAAGGAAAGAGAAAGAAAUAUAGAUAGGGGUCUACUUUUCUUUGUGAGACUGUGUAUUUAAUUUCUUUUAUUAGACCCACAGUUUGUAGUGAUUAAUCAUUGUAAGGGUAAUUAAUGAGGAUUCUCCCUAUAAUAAUAAUAUAAACCCUAGCAAAUAUUGUAGGAGCAAUUUGCAAAUGAAAAAGGAUGGGGGUUGUUGGUGCAUGCUAGGGAUAGAGGAGGCAAAAGAAUCAAGUGUGGUCAAAUUUGGAUCUGAUUGUGAUUUAGGGCAAAUGUGGUAGGAUUUAACUAAUUAACCAUGUGGAUUAAAAAGUUAAGCAUGUGUUUUUCCUAGUUGUUAAAGAAUGAAUCUACCUUAAAUAGUAAUAUUUCUUAGAACACAUCUUUCUUUAAUCACCCUUCUUAAGCACCUCAACAGUUGCUGUACUUAAUUAGGGCAUGUUUGGUAUUGAACUACGUCUAAUACUAAUAGAUAAAAUAGAAUUAGAAGAAAAAAACGUACAGGAGAUACUUCUGGGUUUUCUGAUGUGAUCGUAAAAAAAUAUAUCGUAACUGAUUCAUUGCAAUACUACAUAUAAAAAUAAAUAGAGUUUCUCCCAUCAUAUAUUCUUACUGCACAUAACGUAAUUUCUCCGAAAUUCCAAUCGAAGCCUAAGUGUCCAUUAAUAUGGUAACAUAAAUAAUAUAUUGAAACUGAAAAACAGGCCUUUAAUUAUAAAAGUCCAAAAUACUUAUUGAAGUGUCGGUAUUUGCUACAUAGUGAGGACGCUUGGAGACACUUCCUCUAAGCAUCGCCAAUGAUUUUUUUUUUUUUCUAUGGAGAUUGUAAAUUUCUUUGUUUUAUCAGUGUUAUCUUCUUUUUGAACAUUGUCACCUAAGUUUAGGUCUAUUUGGAUGCCAAGAUAUAUAGCUAGAGCUUCACAAAAAUUUGAAAGCGCUCAACCCAUGUAUAAUAAUCCAAUCACAAUGGAUAUAUACAGGUGUAUUUGUGUGCAUAGUUAGAGAUCCAACUGUAAUGCCCUAACAGUCCCACAUUGGAUGAGAUACUGAUUCCGAUCAGUUUAUAUGAGGCAAUUCCAUAGUUUUUCUCUCCCAUUUCAAUAGUUUAUAUGAGGCAAUUCCAUAGUUAUUUCCUCCCUUUUCCAUUCAGUCCCACAUCGGAUGGGAUACUAAUUCCGAUCAGUUUAUAUAGUUAUUUCCUCCCUUGAUCGUGUGCGCAAAAGUAAUUGAUCGAGAUUUUGAAUAUCACAAUUCCAUAGUUAUUCUCUCCCAUUUCCAUUCCUGAAAAGGAAUGGAAAUGGGAGAGAAUAACUAUGGAAUAGGAAUAGGAAUGAAAAUGUGAAAAGGACAACGAUAGAUUGGCUGACGCUAACUUCAAUGACCCGACCUGCUAGCAAUAAUAAAUCGUUAGCCCCAAACAAUCGGCCCAAAAUACUUAAAAUCAGUUAUUAUUACUAGCGUAUAGGUCUCAUAUAAACUGAUCAGAAUCAGUAUCCCAUCCGAUGUGGGACUAUUGGGGCAUUACACCAACACACCAAUUAAAAUAUUUUUUGACAAACUAUUUACUCUAGUACUCUAGGUAAAAAAAAAAAUUUAAUUAAGUCAGUUAUUCAAUUUUUCAAAAUUUUAAUUUUACUAUAUAUUUUUUUGAUUUGUUUGAUUUGAGACAAUCAACAGUAUUUUGACUUAAAAAUUUAUAUUAACUAUUUAUUUUAAUAAAUUUAUAGCUAUGAGCAUUACAAAAAGUAUACUAACUUAACUUAUAAAGAUAAACAAUGCAUUCAGAUUUUAAAAUCAAAAUAUCAUUAACUAAUUUAAAUCAAACAAAUUAAAAAAUUAAAUAAUUAACUCAAAAUAAUUUAUAAUACGAAUAAGUUGUGUAUAAUUUUUACUUUGUCGCCCCGGAUCUUUGAAAUCCCACAACUCAUCCCAAUGCUACAAAACAGCUGCAGAAACAUCCACCGCACAAGCAUCCCACCAAAGGGCCAAAAUUUUGACAAACUAAUAAGAUAACAACAAUAUUAAAAAUUAAACAAAUUUUAUAUAUAUAUAUAUAUAUAUCUUGUUUCACCUUUUUAUUAUUAUUAUUUUUUAUGCCCCUCCGCGCCACGUCAUCACCUGCGCCGCGCCAAUAUUUUGCCGGGGCCGCCGGCCACGUAUCCCUAUCGCGGGCCCCGCCCCUCCUCCACUCGUCUCUCGCCACGUGUCGUAUACCUCCCGCGUGUCCGACACUCGGGGCCCCACCCUGUCCCCCCUCCCCGGCACGUGUGGGCCCCCACCUUGUCCCCCUCCUCCCCCUACACAUCCGUCCCCCCCAAUGCUCUACGUGCAUGGGCUCCCUCCCCUAUUUAUACCCACCCCUCCCCCCCCUCCUCUCUCCUCACACCCCUCUCUCUCUCUCUCUCUCUCUCUCUCUCUCUCUCUAAUUGCAAUCGUUCGUUCCAAAAGCGCUUUUGGAAAUGGCGGUGGAGGAGGAGAAGCGCUUCCCGACCCCGCUCGGCGCCGCGGCGUGCGAGCGCGACGCGGAGAAGCUGGAGUUCAUCGAGGAGACGACGCGGGACGCCGACCGGGUGCAGGAGAGGGUGCUCGGGGAGAUACUCGGCCGGAACGCCGAGACGGAGUACCUGCGCAGGUACGGGCUCGGCGGCGCCACCGACCGCGCUGCGUUCAAGCGCAAGCUCCCCGUCGUGUCGUACGAGGACCUGCAGCCCGAGAUCCAGCGCAUCGCCAACGGCGACCGCUCCCCAAUUCUCUGCGCCCACCCCAUCUCUGAGUUUCUCACCAGGUGCUCCAAUCGCACCUGAUGUAUAUAUUAAGAUACUAUACUUUGAGCCAUAGAUCCAUACUGUAAAGAGUUUCUCAAAGUAUGAUGUAUUUUGUUUGUUAAUAUUACUAAAGAGUGUUUUUUUUAAUUAUUAUUAUUAUUUGGUUUAGCUCGGGAACUUCGGCGGGGGAGAGGAAGCUGAUGCCGACUAUUGAGGAAGAGCUCGACCGGCGACAACUGCUCUACAGUCUCCUCAUGCCCGUCAUGAACUUGUAGGUUUUUUUUUUCUUUUUUAAUUAACUAUAGAAAAUAACAUUAUAAUCAUAUAUUUAAGGUGAAAAAAAAUAUUAUUUAUGUGUAUAUAGUAGCAUAAUUAAUGUUCUCAACACAAAUAAGAUUCCGUUUGAAAGAUUAAAACACAUUUGAGAUGCAGAUAUAUAGUUAAGAUGGAAUUUUAAUUUGUUAGCGUAUUCUUCACCUGAGUUAGAUAUGUAUCGGGACUGGAUAAGGGGAAGGGUCUGUACUUCUUGUUCAUCAAGUCGGAGACGACGACCCCUGGCGGGCUCCCCGCCCGGCCGGUCCUGACGAGCUACUACAAGAGCGACCACUUCCGCCGCCGCCCCUUCGACCCCUACAACGUCUACACCAGCCCCACCGCCGCCAUCCUCUGCCCCGACCCCUUCCAGAGCAUGUACGCUCAGAUGCUCUGCGGCCUCCUCCUCUCCGCCGACGUCCUCCGCAUCGGCGCCGUCUUCGCCUCCGGCCUCCUCCGCGCCCUCCGCUUCCUCCGCCUUCACUGGCCCCAGCUCUGUCAUGACUUAUCCACCGGAACCCUAAACCCCACUGUCGUCACCGACCCCUCCGUCCGCGAGGCCGUCGGAGAGCUCCUGACCAAGCCAGAGCCCGAACUAGCCCAGCGGAUCGCCGCGGAGUGCUCGGGGGACAACUGGGAGGGGAUCGUGCGGCGCGUGUGGCCGAACACCAAGUACUUGGACGUGAUCGUGACCGGGGCGAUGGCGCAGUACAUACCGACGCUCGAGUACCUCAGUGGGGGGCUCCCGAUGGCGUGCACGAUGUACGCGUCGUCGGAGUGCUACUUCGGCCUCAACCUCCGCCCCAUGUGCGAUCCCGCCGACGUCUCCUACACCAUCAUGCCCAACAUGGCCUACUUCGAGUUCCUCCCCCACAUCAGCGACGCAUCAUCAUUCAGUCACGACCACCCACGUCAGCUCAUAGACCUUGCCGACGUGGAGGUGGGGAAGGAUUACGAAUUGGUUAUUACCACGUACGCUGGAUUGUACAGGUAAAUCAUAUAUAUAUAUCGAUUUAUCAAAUCAAAUAUUGUAAUGCUUCUAAUCUUGUUUUAUUAUAAACAGCAUAUUAUAUUAUAAAAUGUCCGCAUGAGACUAAAAAUAAUAAUAAUAAUAAUUUUUCAGAAUUGACCAGGAUAUAUCGAUUUUUUUGAUUCAAUUUUUAGUCAAAUGGUACGAUUCUGUAAUAAUCCAGUCCGCUAGCAAUAAUAACUCGUUAGAUUCAAAUCACAAGUCUUAAAUAUUUAAGCUUAAUUAUUAUUAAUAGGGCGAAGGUCUUUUUUAUUUCCAUCAGUAUCAUUCUCUAAUGUAGAAUUAUUGGAACGUUAUAGUUCACUAUUCGAUUUUCUCAGUACAUAUUAUAAUAUAUGUGCAGGUAUCGGGUGGGGGAUGUGCUGCACGUGACGGGGUUCCACAACGCAGCGCCGCAGUUCCGGUUCGUGCGGCGGAAGAACGUGCUGCUGAGCGUGGACGCGGACAAGACGGACGAGGCCGAGCUGCAGCGGGCAGUCGGACGCGCGGCGGGGCUGCUGCGGCCGCUGGGCGCCGACGUCGCAGAGUACACGAGCCGGACUGAAACGAAGGAGAUUCCCGGGCACUACAUCAUCUACUGGGAGCUGCUGCUCAAGGAGAGCGGGAAAUGGCCCGAAAAGGAAGUGUUUGAUAACUGCUGCUUGGAAAUGGAGGAGGCUCUUAACUCUGUUUACAGGUAUAUAUUUCUAUCACAAUUGGACCAAAUCAUUACUAAAGUUCGUUUGAAAUUACAGAAAAAUUACAUUACGUGCGUUGAGAAAGUACGAUAAAAAAAUAUUUUAUUUGUUUUCGUAUAUAAUAUUACGUUAUGCAUAUCACGAUGAGUCGGUUACGAUAUAUAUUUUACGAUUCCACCGAAGAACACAAAAGCCUAAAACUUUUCAAUCUUUAUUGAAUUUCAUAUGAAUGUUGAACUUGUGACUUUGUGACUAUGAUUACAACAGGCAGUGCCGGGUCGCGGACGGGUCGGUCGGGCCGUUGGAGAUCCGGGUGGUGAGAUCCGGGACGUUCGAGGAGUUAAUGGACUAUGCGAUUUCGAGAGGGGCCUCCAUUAACCAGUACAAGGUGCCGCGGUGCGUGACAUUCGGGCCCAUCAUCGAGUUGUUGGACUCGCGGGUCGUGUCGGCUCAUUUCAGCCCGGCCUGCCCCACGUGGACCCCACACCGGACCAAUUAAUUAACUACCUCUACCUCCAUCAACCAAGUUAAUAUAAUAUAAUAAUGUAAUAAUAUAAUAUAAUAUAAUACAUGCUUGUUUUAUUAAUAAUAAAAUGUUCAAUCAUCCAGUAUAUUUGUUUAAAGUAUUUAUUAGGUGAACUCGGCAACGACUUUGGCGGGCUGUGAAAAUUAUUAUGCAACCAGUAACCACCAGAUAGCGUCGCCGUCUAGUUUAUAAAAAUAUCUAUUUAGCUAAAAUCGGCGACGACUUUGGUGUCUUUGACGAAUAUAUGUAACCGCCUGAUAACGUCGCCGAUUUCUUUAUAGUUAAUCAUAUCUGCUUGUCUCUGUUGUUUUUCUCUUGGGGGUGGGGAAUAUCUUGUGAUAGGGAGAUGUUGUGGUUGACUAAGCCAUGUGUUGCGUUUGUAUUUUUUUUUAUUUUGAUGUAUCAAUUGGGAAAUUUAAAUACUAUUUUACUUGCGUGAUUAGUUACUGGUAUUCUUAGCAAAAAAAAUUUUCGGGUAAAUUACAUGUUUGUUCCUCAAACCAUGAGUUGCGUGACAAUUUGGUAUUCAAAUUUAAUUUGUUACAAUUUCUACCUCGAACUCUCAAAACUAUUGCAAUCAAAUUCUGUAACUCAAUUUAGUUAAAUAUAAUGUAUUGCUAAUGUAAAAGUAAUAUGACAAUGUUGUAGUUGAUAGUACAAAAAUAAUUAAGAUGCUGCUGCACAUAUCACUUUUACAUUAGUGGUGAGUCAACAUUUAGUCAUAUAUUUGGGAUUUGAUUGUAAUAAUUUUAAAAGUUCAAGCCUAAAAAUUACAAUAUUAAAAUUUGAGCACUAAAAUAUCACUAGCCUCAUAGUUUAAUGAACAUAGGAGCAAUUUACCUUUUUUAAAUUUUGAGAGGUGUUCUUGCCUGCUAUUCUUGUUGCCUUGGUGGAGAUUUAUAACUAGAAUAGCAUCUUUUGCUUUUGGCUUAUCAUCUUUAUCGCUUGUUUUAGUUCGAUUGGAGUUUCUGCAAAUGUAUUGUUUAAAUUAUCAGAAGAAGCACUAACUGUAGGCGCAAAAACUUCAAACUAAAAUUCUUUCUAGCACGAUCUCAAGUUCAUUUUGACUCUCUAAUUGUGUAACAAAAGCUUUGCCAUUUGGAUUUCGCGUUCCUAUCAUAAUCAAAAAGAACAUUCUUAUUCCACAUACAUUUUUUCUAUAAUUUGUAACCAAACAUUGAUAUAAUUAAUAAAAAAUUCAAGGAAAUAUUUUAGAUAGUUUUUAGAGUGUAGACCUUUUUGAUAGGGAACUGUGUCACUCCCCUAACUGUAGGGUGGACAAAUUAUAGUUAGCAACAAGAAUAAAUAAAAGAUUGAGUAGGUCAUGGAAGUUAGAAUCUUAACCUAACCCAUGAUGGUUCCAAAUUAAAUUUGGGUCCACAAUUUGGGUUCAGGGUGGUAUGGGUCAUGUCUCAUAAUGUGGGUCCAAUUGACCCACUUUCUCUACUGUUGCACCCCUAACUAAGCACAAUCUUAAUUAGAUUUAUUUGUCUGCGGUUUAACGCGCAAGAGUUUACUUACACUGAUGUUAACAGGAUAACCUUAUUUAAUGAUCAAAUUAUUCCAACUAAUUCCAAUGGAAUCUUAUACUUAGUGUCUUAUAUAUAUAUAUAUAUAUAUAUAUAUAUAUAUAUAUAUAUAUAGAAUUAGGCUGGAAUACUAUUAAUAGUAAAAUGCUCUUUUUGCUAUCAAGUUUUUAACCUUUGGAUGAAAAAUUGUAGGGUCAUGAUGAUAUUAGUCGGUUAGAGUUGAGUGGUCCCCCUAGGGUUGAGUGGUUCCCACUGGGUUAUAGUAUUUAAUCCAAUGGUUAGAAAUAAUGAAAAGAGUUAAUCCAAAGGCUAAAAAACUGGUAGCAACAAUGAGAUUUUGCUACUAAUAUGUAACGCCCCCAAUAAUAUUGCAACAACCCAACCCGCUAGCAACAAUAACUCGCUAGGCCCAAACCAUCGGCCCAAAAUACUUAAGUCGGGUUAUUAUUACUAGCGUGUAGGUCUUAUAUAAACUAAUCGGAAUCAGUAUCCCAUCCGAUAUGGGACUAUUGGGGGCGUUACAACUUUACUUUUGGUCGAAAACUGAAAACUCUUCCGAAUUGUAUAAUUGACUUUUGGCUCACACCAGUUUAAAAGUCAAUUACAAAAAUAGAUUAUAAAAUAUUAAUCUAUUUCUCACACUUUUAAUUUUUGCGUUACCAAACAAACAACAAAAUUAGAAAAAGUUCAGUUCCACAGCUAUACAAAACAAACAGCAGAAGCCAAAAAGGGAAGUAAUUUCUAUCUAAACUCUAGUUCACCCAAAAAUCUACUUCAAUAAAACAAACACGUCUUUAAUGAGCCGCGCCGGAUGGCUCGGCCCAAAUCCAAGUUUUAUAUGGGUAAGCUCAGAAUUGAUCAUUCAGAGAGGCCCACAGUUGAUCUCUCUAGAGUUGGCCUUGUUAGUUUGCCCAACUCUACAUUGAGGAGAGAGAGGUGACAACAAGGGGCAUGAGAGAGAGAGAAAGAUAUGUUGAAAAGUUUUUUUUUUUUUAAUUUUUGAGAGAGAAAGGUACAAUGCUAUCCGCUUUAUUUAUUUAUUUUAGAAAUAAACUUAGCUGAAAAUGUAAAUCAACUAGGAUUUGAACUUAGGACCUCGAAUAUCAACCAUCAAGCUCUUUGCCACUUGUGCUAAGGACAGUCGGUGAUAUGUUGAAAAGCUAUUCGAGAAAUUUUUAGAAGAGCAAUUGUUAGUAUUUUUUUCAAAUGAUUUUACUUAGACAACAAUAUGAGAAAGCUAUUAUUGUUAGUGCUAUUUCAAGAAGUAUUAGACAAACCAAGAUGGCUCAAAGAGAGUGUCUAGAUUGAUGUAAAUGCUUAUUAAUCUACGAAAAUCCAACUAAACUAAAAGCAAAAAAACAUAAAGUUUCUUUGUAGAUCACACUGCAUAGAUGUGCGCUUAAUAUCUUAUAAAAAUAUUUCUUUAAGAGGUUGUUUGGAUUUGAGAGCCAUCAAAUACUGUGGGGGCAAAAUAAGUUAGGAUAAAAAUAUAUAGAAAUAUAUUUUUUAUUUUCUAAUAAAGUUGUAACAAAUAUAUAAUAAUCAACACGUUAUAUGUGCGUCGUAAUAUAAAACAAAGCGAGAGAGAGAGAGAGAGAGAGAGAGAGAGAUACAAUCAUACAAAUAUUAAAAUAGCCAUGUUGCAGCGAAUUUGCUUUCAAAGUUUCCAACUUAAUCGUUGCUUUCGAAAAAAACCAAAAAAAAAUGCGAUCACUAUCAAGAAACGAAAAUAUCUAGAUGGGACCAUAGAGAAAAUCAAGCCACAAUUUUGUCCUCUACCAUAAAAAACUCAGCAGUGACUUCACAACUUUAUCUAUUUUUUCAGGAGUGGAAGACUCUUUCAAUGCUUAAAUGAUCCUCAAUAAUAAUUGGCACACUCAAAAAAUUACAUGCAAUGCACCAAAACAAAUCCAACAUCAUUGGAUUUGUUGUGACCAAUGAUAUAGACCCACGACCGACCGUCUCUAAAGCAAGUGGCAAAGGGCUUGGUGGUUGAUACCCGAGACCCAAGUUCAAAUCCUAGCUGUUUCACAUUUCCAGCUAAGUUUAUUUCUAAAUGAAAUAAACGAAGUGGGUAACGUGCUAUCUAUCUUUCAAAAAAAAAAAAAAAUGAUAUAGACCCAUACUUAGAAAAAUAUCAAAACUUUAUCUCUUUUUCAAAACAAAAAACUCAAAUAGCUCAGCUUUGCUAUAAAUUGUAAGACCCAAAAGCUAAUUGUAGCUUCCAGUUACAGGAAAAUCGAUCUCUAAAGUCUGGUUUGUGUGCUUUCAAAAAUACAGUAAUCUUCAUGCCAUCAAGUUCUUUCCGAUGCUAGAACUUUCGAAUUGACUCCGUUACACUUGAUUUAGAGUAUUGAAAGUACUUAGAAUAUAAAUUUCAUAUUUUUUUAAUAUUAUUUAUCUAGUAAUUAAUGUACAUGGUUCAAAAUUAACGAUUGAAAAUAAAAAUCUCACAGAAGUACUGAUAUGACGCUAAAAGUUUAGAUCAACUGUAUUAAUCUUGUUUUAUAUAAUAUAAAUAAGUUUCUAUUAAAAUUUCACAUGAUUUGGAUAUUUCUAUACCGUUAAACUUACAAACGGCUCACCACCGUCAUUAAAAUUGUUAAUUCUAUACCUCUUCGAUCGUUAGAUAAAUGAUAUUGGAAAAUCGUGAAAUUUAUUUCCUAGAUACUUCAAAUACUUAUAUUAAGUCUAACAGAGUCGAUCAUCGAUUUGAAAAUCCUAAUAUUGAAAAUGGCUUGAUAGCACGGAGACCACCGUGUUUCUAAAAACGCACAAGCCUAGCUCAAAUCUCUAUUUUUCUUUUUUUGUAAGAAACAUGAUUGUACCUAUUUUGUAGAAAAAUUUACAACAAAAGGAGCUAGCUUCCAAACUAUUUGCUAUUGCUUUUCAGACAAUUUGCUGCUGCUGUUUCAGAGCAGAGAAGUUGAUAAGAUGCUAGCUCCAGCAUGUAGCCUGAAGCCAAUAUGGCAAUAUGAGAGAUUCCAAAUCAAAAGCUCUUCUUAGAUAAGGCUUUUGCUUCUUGCUACACAGAGAAGCCAUCAUGAAUCUAUGUUAAUCUAAAAUAGAACUUCCUCAACAGAUCUGCUCAAAGCAGCUCAACAUCCUUCCAUCACACAAUCCCAUAUACAUUUACAAAGAGAAGUUUCAGAACAAAGAGAGCUCACAGAAAGAAACCAUAUGCAUGGCUCCUCUCACUCCAAGAGUGGUGGUGCCCAUAGAUGUGAGGAAGAAGCCAUGGGAGCAGAAGCUGCCCCUACACAACCGGUGGCACCCGGAGAUACCUCCGGUGGCUGACGUCACCGAAGGGGAGCUCUUCCGAGUCGAGAUGGUCGACUGGACUGGCGGCCAAGUUACUGACAAUGAUUCAGCAGCAGAUAUCAAAUUUAUGGACCUUUCGAUCGUAAGUCGAUGCAAUCGUGCAUUACUAAAUCAGUUUCCGCAAAAGAAUUGAUCAAGUGUUAUAGGAACAAUAAGUUCAUGAAGGAGAUGCAGCAAUAAAAUCUAUUAUGUAUGCUUUUUACUGUAAUAGCAUGGAAGAAAAAUAGCUUACAAAAGCCAUCUACAUAUAGGAGCAGCACCCUUUGUUUCAUUUUCAGAAAGAGCAUUUUGAAGUUAAAUUAAAUGAUUUACCACAAAAAAAGAGUAAAUUCAAGUAGAAUAUCUUUUUCUUAACCUUAUAACUAUGCAUUAAGGCUUAUAUUUCAGCACGAACGAAUCGAAUUCACACGAAAUUUAAAAGUUUUAAGUAAACUUCACUAGAUAUUAGGUAAUUAGCCACAAUUUUCUCUUUCACAGACCCAUUAUCUUAGUGGCCCUUUGAGAGUUUUGGACCCCCAAGGGGUUCCGGCACAGCCCGGUGAUCUUCUUGCAGUGGAGAUCUGCAACUUGGGACCGCUCCCGGGCGAUGAAUGGGGUUACACAGCAACAUUUGAUAGAGAGAAUGGAGGUGGUUUUCUAACUGAUCACUUCCCCUCUGCAACCAAAGCUAUUUGGUACUUUGAAGGGAUCUAUGCAUAUUCCCCUCACAUACCAGGUAUAUUUUUUUCAGCUAAAUUGUACCAUAAUUCCUCAAUUUUUCACAAAUUCAGGGUCUAAAGCUUUGAAUCAACAAUUAGGGACCAAUUAUGAUUCGUCGAAAACAUUUUAUAUACUUCUCUACCCUUUUACUGCAUUGUCUAUCAGUAUAACUGUUUACAGGAAUGAUUUACUAAUAAGGAAAAUGUCGUCAACAGGUGUUAGGUUCCCGGGUUUGACCCAUCCUGGAAUAGUUGGGACUGCGCCAUCAGUUGAGCUUCUAAAUAUAUGGAAUGAGAGAGAAAAGAAAUUGGCGGAGAGUGGAACUGGGUCAAUGAAAUUAUGCGAAGUUGUGCACCAGAGACCUCUUGCGAACCUACCGACACCCAGGAAUUGCCUUCUUGGAAAGGUUACAAAGAAUGUUGAAAAUACCGAAGAUGUUAUGUAAUAGCAUACCUAUUUCAGAUUGCAGUGAAUUAUAGCAUUUCUCUAGAAUUUAUACACUACUGAGUAUCAAUGAUAUCACAAAGGUAAAAAUAUGCAGACACUAUCUACUUAUAUCGCAUUUUGAAAUCGGUUCUGAACUUCAUGCACCCUUCAAUUCUUUUUAUCUCACCACCUCUCUGUCAAAAACAACUAUAGUGAUUUUCAGUUUUUUGAUAGAAUGUUCUGUAAUCUAAUGUAUCCACUGUUACUUGUCGUAGUAUCGAUGCUUUUUUUUUGACGAAAACUGUGAUUUUUGACUGAAUCUGAGUGGAGAGGUACUGUAGUGAAAUAUAAUGGAAGGUUAGUUGCUGAAUCAACAUUUUUUAAAGGUUGUAUCCUUUUCAAAUUGCAUGAUGGUUCAGGUAGCAUCUAUGAUAAAUACUCCCAAAGUCAUUAACAAAAGCAAUAUAUUUGCCAUUUACCAUUAAUAUGUUAUUGUAGAUAAAAGAAGGAACACCCGAGUGGGAACAGAUUGCAAAUGAGGCAGCAAGAACAAUACCGGGAAGGGAGAACGGAGGGAACUGCGACAUCAAGAAUCUCAGUAGAGGCUCGAAAGUGUAUCUUCCAGUGUUUGUAGAAGGAGCAAAUCUUAGUACAGGCGACAUGCACUUCUCGCAAGGCGAUGGCGAAGUUUCAUUUUGCGGAGCCAUAGAAAUGAGUGGAUUCCUUGAGCUAAAGUAAUUCUUCAAAUCUCUUUGUUCUCAGCAUUGUGCUGUUUUCACAUAUUCAGAUCAAUAGAUUAUGAUAUCCGCGAAUACAUAUUGCGACAAAAAACAAAAUCUUUUCUAUUUCUUAAGCAAAUGCUCAGGGAUUUUGCCUCUCAGAAAUAUAUUUAAGGAAUAGUAUUAUGUUUCGGCAUCAAAUUUCAAAAACAGAAAAUGCAAUUAGGCAUACAUCCUUAUAACAUAGUAUUACUAAAUUUAUGAUUACUAUUUAUUAUAGUAUUUUUACUGUUAUUACUUAUUACAACUGCUACUUUUAAUGUGAUUAACACUGUUAUAGUCAUUCACUAUAAUCAUGACAAAAUCAUGCAUAAUGGAUCAGAAGAUUCACUCUGGUUACUCUGAAUCAGAAUCAUGACAAAACAAAGGCAUGGAAAAUAACAUGUAAUGUUUGAUAGCAAUAAUAAAAAUACGUAAAAUGCUUCGAGUCUUUUUGCAGGUGCGAGAUUAUAAAGGGAGGGAUGAAAGAGUACCUGACACCGAUGGGCCCGACCCCUCUACAUGUGAAUCCAAUCUUUGAGAUAGGGCCAGUCGAGCCACGGUUCUCCGAAUGGCUAGUGUUCGAGGGAAUAAGCGUCGACGAAACCGGGCAGCAGCAUUUUCUCGAUGCCACAGUGGCUUACAAGCGCGCGGUGCUCAACGCCAUCGACUACAUCUCGAGAUUCGGGUACUCCAAAGAGCAGGUACGGCGUGCUCAACUCAGCUCAACUCAACCACUUUCCUUGUAUCAGUUGCACUCAUGAAACAACUAAGCAUUGAACAAUAGUAACAAAAUGGUGGAUCAAAUUCAGGUAUAUAUUUUACUCUCAUGCUGCCCCUGCGAAGGAAGGAUUUCAGGAAUUGUUGAUUCCCCGAAUGCAGUCGCGACCCUCGCCAUUCCUACUGCCAUUUUCGAUCAGGUUAGUUUGUCAGUUUGCUUUCCAAAUCACCUAAUUGAGGGGGCAAAACAAAGCUACAUUUACAGCAGAGUUUCUGAUCUAGGCAUGCAUUAAGAUCAUGGAAUGAUCAAAUGACAAACUAUAUAUUAAUCCCUGAAACAAACUAUGAAAUACCGAAUUAUGGUUGUGAAUAGCGCCGAUAGUAGAGAAUAUUGCAUUCUGCUAGAAGUGAUCAUUGAUAAGCUAGAGGGACUAAUAAUUAUUAAAGCUCACUUAUGGUACACAAAUUUGCUAAGCUCACUACUAUUGCUACUUUGGAAAAGCAAAAAAAAAAAGUAGUAACUAGUGUUUAACUCAUACUAACAUAGUAUGUGAUUUUAUGCAUGGUUUCGAUGCAAUGCGACAAAAGGACAUACGACCGAGAUCAGGGAAGGUGCCACAGGGACCGAGACUAAUAAAAAGGCUUCCCGAUGUGCUACGGUGCAAAUAUGACGGAGAUCUACCGAUAACACAAAACCCAGGAGGGACUACAUAGAAUUGUCAUCGUUAAAAUGACACUUCUAUACAAAUCUCUCUGCAUUCGCAACUUGUUCUUCGUACAUUUGAAAUGUCGUCUAUAUGCGCAUAUCGAACUUUGUGUUACAGCUGAAUAAUUGUUGUAGAACGGAGAGUAUGUAUGCAUCUUCACUACAAAUAAAUAAUGUUUUUGAUUCUGAAUUCAGAGUAUAGGUAUUCCAAUGAUGAUCAUAGAAGCCCAAAAUGCACAGCAAACAAACUAUAGAGAAUUGUAUAGAUGUUUUGAAUUUACUGUUACAAGUAGUAAGAGUAGAGUACUCUUUGAGGCAUUUUGUCGAAUAACUUGUUCGCAACAAAAUUUUAGUCCAAACAACACAGAAAAUUAGGAAACAAUGUGCAUACAAAACAAAAUAUGAAUGCAUACACGGUUUUUUUGAAAAAAAAAAACAUAAAGAAAAAGUUUACGAAAAUAAAUAGACGCCGUACUAUGUACAUCACUGCGACAUUUUAGACUUUUCCGUAGGGCCCACAAUCCUGCUUUGUGGGCCCAUGUGUGAUCGAGGCCCAAAACUAGCAUUUGGAAGGAGACAUUACUGGGCCCAAAUUCAAACUUUUGGGCCCAAGCAACGGGCACUUUGGGCCCAUCUAGGCCCAUUAUGUGGCCAGAGAGUUUAACACGGUGGGCCCCACUACCGACGCACCGAAGAGUCUAAACCCAACCAGUAAGAAGUGCGACACAGGUCAGCACGAAUCUGUCGCCCGAAAAUUUUCACACUGGACCAGGUUCACAGUGUUACCACUAAACCCUCCUGGUGACUUGCGUGAUAUCUUCGGCUUUCCUUGGAUGGCGUGGUGAACAUGGUCUAGGGAAAAUUACUCGGUCGCCCAACAAAUUGGAAUUUAUUAAGUGAACCCGGUGCAGGUCUGUGGACGGCGUUUAUUGACAUCUCGAGUAAAAGACGGUUGAGGAAUUCUCGGUUCAAGAAUAUUGAUGCACCGGGUGUGCUUAUUAUUACUAUUAUUUUUGUGUUUUGUUUUUGGCGAAGAGUCGACCUUUCUCUCCCGCUUUUCCUUUUCCAAAGCGACUGCGCCGUUUUUUUUUUUUUUUUUAAUUCUAUUCUUCGUCCUACUACAGCGUGGAGUAUGCCUCUUUUGUCGUCGUCGUCGUCGUCGUCGUCGUCCCCUUUCACGCUCUCUUCGUCUUCUUCUUCAUCAUCUUUUCAUAUCCUCCGUCUCCAAUUCCCCUCUCGCUCUCUCCUCCUCUCUCCUCCUCUUCCUCCUCCCCGCUCCUCCUCCCUUCUCCGUAGUACUCCGAAGCCGCCUCCUCCGCCCCUCCUCCGCAUAGCCGCGGCGGCGAUGGCCUCCUCCGACUCCGGCGUCGCCGGCGCCGGCAACGCCGACCCCCGCAUCCCCAGGAUCGCAUCCUCAAUCCGCGUGAUUCCCAAUUUCCCUAAGCCUGGUGCGUCUCUAUCUCUCUCUCUCUUAGGGUUUUCUUGGCGCCACGGAGUUAUAGAGAUGUUUGGGAUCGGGCGCAGGGGUAAUGUUCCAGGACAUCACGACGCUGCUGCUCGAUCACAAGGCGUUUAAGGACGCGAUUGAUAUGUUCGUGGAGAGGUACAGAGACAAAGGGAUCACCGUGGUAGCAGGUAAUGUGGAAUUGAUCUGAUCUGCUCUGCUUUCAUCUCUACAUCUCUUUGCUUUUUGAAUUCUAGCUCGGAAGUUUUGGUGUGUACUUACAACCGUGUGAAUUGUGAUGGAAGGGGCUUUUGAUUAGGUGAGCAUAAAGUAGCAACAAUUUGCUUAGAAUUUGAUCCUCACUGUUCAUAGAGAUUUGGAAACACUUUGUUAUUGUGUCGGUGAUGAUUGUGUGCCCUUGGUAGGCAUUGCUAUUCUGGUAAUGCAAUCUCUUUGAGGGCUGUUUGGCCUGAGCUAGAGCUAUGAAAAAGUGUUGUUUGAGUAGUGUUGUUUGAAAAACUAUAGCUUUAUGCUGAACUUAGAAGCAAAAACUAAAACUUUGGCUUAUGGCAAAUAACCUCAUUUCAGCUACUUAUACUAGCAACAAGCUUGAGGAGUAGAUAAGCUGUUUCAAAACCAGGAUGAUCAACUUAAUUCAUGUGUAUAAUGAUGUUAAACCUUUGUGCUUUGUUUCUAAAUUCUUAUACAUGUUUCUUAUAUAUUUGCAUGGGUUUGUCAUAUUAAUUAAUUAAAUUAAACUUAUUUUGCUUCUUUAUAAAUGUGAUUUUGUUUACAUGCUUCAUUAGUUCCCUAAUAUUCUGCUCGAAAAGAAUCUAGAAUUUCUUUUUUCAUUACUGUACUUCAUCUAACGCGAGUAUACAGAUAUGAGGUGCGACCCCUUUUCUUCUCAAGUGCAGUACUGUAGUUGAAACUAUGUGUUUUUCGUCGUUUUUUGAUAGAUACUAUGGUUUGCUUCUUUCCACAGCUUUCUUAGGUAUACAGUAAAUUCAAGUGCCUUUUAUUUUAACCAGACAUCUAGGGGUAAAUCACUGUUUCCAUGCGGGCCGCGAGAGCGGUACCAAAUCGAGGCUAACCAAUCUGUUGUUGAUACUGAUAUGUGUAAUUGAAUUGCAUUUUUAUAUUUAUAUUGAAAUAAUGAUGACCAAUUUGGUGGCCAUAGAUAGAAAUAGAGCUUUUCCAAACAUUUGUAAUUUGUGGUUUUAAUCAGCGGAGGAACCCUUAGGUUCUCGGGGCAUUGGAUUCUCAGUCUGAACAAUUCGCGAGGUUUUUUAAAUCCACCUGUGAGAUACACAUGACAUACGUGCAGGAUCAUCACGAAAACCAUCAUACUUGCUGACUAUCAAUGAACUAAUCGGAUUAACCAACCUUUAUCUGGUCUUGUUUUCACUUUUCUAUUUAUUCUAGAUACAAUUGUCAAAUUUUGGACUUUCCAUUAUUUUUCUCAUUCUUUGAUCACUUGGGAUUCGAAUUCGAAAAAAUAUCCAUCCCUUGAUUUUACGCAAAAUGCCUAUACGAACUCAAUUUCUUACUUCAGGAUAGAGAUGUAGUGUAAAAAGAAGUGCUUCAAAUCAUUGCUAUUUGACUCGGCCCGUGAAAUAGGAUUGCAAUUUUCCAUGAAUUUCCCAUUUUUCACUCAACGAUGAAACUUUGCUUAUUUUCUCUUUUGAGGUUAAUUUAGGAAAAAAGCGAAAAAACUAGAAAUUUUAAAAAAAAGAAAAUGCAAAAUAAGAAAUGAAAGGGGUUUGGAUUUGAUUUGUCCUCUCUCUAGACUUUGAAGCUAUUGUUUGACUUCUGGCUUCUUUGUCUGGUAUAUCUUUUCCACUAAUUUUUGUAUAUGGUGAAUUACUUUUUUACAACUGAAAGUAAGACCAGUUAGCUGGGUUCUAUGUUGGAGGAGAUAGUAUAUUGUGAUAGAAAUUUGGUGUAAGAAAAAUUAGCGAGAGUCUUAUUGCUUAUAGAAAUGUUCUAUGAUAAUAUUAGAAAUACCUUUUCACAUAGUGUUCUGAAUUUAGUUUUGACAUCAACCAGGUAUUGAAGCAAGAGGAUUUAUAUUUGGGGGCCCCAUUGCCUUAGCUAUUGGAGCAAAGUUCGUUCCUAUGAGAAAGCCGAAUAAGUUGCCUGGUACUUUUUCUUGCACAUCCUUUUUUAUCCUAUUCUGGACCUGGAUACAUCAUUACUGUCUAAUUUAAUUGCUUGAAAGUGUAUUGAGUCGGUACUGAUAUUUGUGGCCCCAUUAGGUGAAGUCAUUUCAGAAGAAUAUUCUCUCGAAUAUGGUACGGACCGAAUGGAGAUGCAUGUAGGAGCUGUAGAGCCAGAAGAUCGGGCCCUCAUCAUUGAUGAUCUAAUUGCCACAGGAGGAACUCUAUGUGCUGCCAUCAGGCUUCUUGGUUAGUUCUCUUCGCUGCAAUUGAAUUUCUCUAAUUACGAUUAUUCUAUUCAGUCAUGUCAAUUUUCUUUUUCCUUUAUAGAAAUUGAGUUGAAUUAGAAGUUAGUCUCCAUAAUCUUGUUGUGUUAUUCUAUUCAGAUUUUGUCAGGUGUAUGAUUGAUUUAGCACAAUUUGUAAUGACAAUGAGUAAUUGGUAUAUAAGGUGUAUGAUUGAUUUUUUGUGGAAUUAGUUAUAGGUCUCAAGCCUAUUUAUCUUAACCUUUUUUUAAUCUAUCAUUUCUCUUUAUUUUAUCAUGGCCUCCCAGUAUUUCUUCCUUUUUCCACUAUCUAAUUACUUUCCUUAACAUUUAUAAUUACUAUGUUCCAAAUUUAUUGUUAUCCGGUCACAUCUUAUACACCUACAAUGUGAAUCUAAUAGGAGUCAUAGUUGCUUCUUGCUACAUGUUUCUUUUGUCUAUGAGUUCAUCAUUUCAGUCUUUCUUUAAUUCUUUUUUGACUUUUGCAACCCAGUUGUACGAUGUUGCAAUACUACCAUUUGAAAUGAUGCAAUUACUUCUUUUUUUCCACUCCUUUUGGCUUUCGGAGGAGUAUCAAUUGUUAAAAUCUUUGACAAAAAUAAUAUUAUCUGAAGAAGACAAGUAAGAAGAUGAAUUUCUGCCCACUAUAAUUUGUUUGGCAUAUCUCAACGGCAUAUCUCUUCUUUCUGAUAAUAAGAUCUUUUCAGAUGAAUUUUGAUUCAUAUUCACCAUGGAAUUAUGACAGUACUUUAUUCUCAUCACGAAUAUACAUUGGAAAGUUGUAGUGGUUGGUAGAUACCAUGGUGCAUGUGGUACGAAAUGUUAGUCCAAUUUCCAGAGGGUUAAUAUUUCUCAAGAUUCAUACUGUAGGGAAGGAACUAAAGCAUGGAACCUGUACCAAAUGCAGUGUCUGAUGGUUUAGAAUAUGAAACAAAAGCUGUUAAAGGGAUGAAAAAUCAGUGACUUAUGGAUGAAGUCUUGCUUUAAAAAACUGCUCAAAACAAAGAAAUUCAAUUUUCACGAAAUAUGAAUACCCUGAUGAUUUCUAUUUCGUCCAUAUAUUAUUCUUUCAUUUGACUAACCCCACCUUAGUAGAAUCUUACCUAUGGCUUUUAAUUACUCUUUCAUAUAAUAGUAAUGCACUACUUUGCAGAACGUGUUGGAGCAGAUGUGGUCGAAUGCGCAUGUGUUAUUGAAUUGCCAGAACUCAAGGUAGCAUGCUUGUUAUAAUCUUAUUGCAUUACUUUUUAUGAUUAAAUUGCUUGGAGCUAUUAUACUGGUCAGCAUGUAUGAUUUCUGCUUAUUAUUCUUGUUUUAACCUGAGUGUGGCGAAAGACUAAUUUAUAGUUUAACCUUUGAAUGAACUGAUUGUGGCAAAAGACUAUAUAAUUUUACUUUUGAAUGAACUGUUUUUCUAUUUAAACAUUUUGUCAUGGAAAGAAGUAAUAUAUAUAUAUAUAGCAUAAUUGCUGAAGUGAUUUUUACUAGUUUAAGCAAAUACCUUUUGACUGUUUCUUAAAUAAAUAAACAUCUUCCUAAAUAGCUCUUCGCUUUUAAGAUAAACUGCACAAUCUGAACUCAAACUUUCUUCACGAGCACAGACACCACCUUGGCUAUGUAAUCAUUCUGCUAAGAUAUGUUUUUGGAAUCCAUUUAUAUUAUUAUAAGUUUUUAGGGAUAAUUUCAUACAGCUCCUCGUAAACAUAUCGAAUAGCAAAUAUAUCCCUGCAAAGUUCAAAUUGUUAGAUUUAUUCCUUCAAAAGUCUGGUGAUGUUCAUAUUUGUCCCUCUGGUUUGUUUCCGUCAGCUCACUAUUUAUUUUUUAACAGAAGAUAAGUUAAAUGUCAAUUUUGUCAUCACGUCCAUCUGAAAAACCCUAAUAGUUAGAAUCGUACAGAAAUGUCCUUCCAAAAAAAUUUCAAUAGUCAUCUUCUUCCUCUAUAAAAGCUAACACAUUCCACUAUUAUUGCAAUCUCUUUUCUACCUCUUCUCUCACUCCUUUACUCCUUUAUCUAUCUAAUACUGAUACCCGGCGCUCGACAUGAGGGAAAUAAUGGAUGAAUGGGGACGGAGAAAUCCUAGUUACGGAUUCGAAACUAGCAUAAAGGAGAGGGACGAAGAGGAAGAAGAAUUUCCAUUGUUAGGUUUUUGAUCGAGCUAGGGUUAUGAUCAGGAGAAGAAGGUAUAAUAUCAUAGAGGUAAAAAGGUCAAUUUACCUUACUCACUAACCAAGGUUAAGUAUUUUAUCUAUAGUUAACUACGCUUUUCUAACAGACACUAAUAUAUUUGAAACCGUUAGGACUUUUUGAGGGAUAAAUUUGAAAAAAUAAAUUUUGUAGGGAUAUAUUUGCUAUUCAAUGUGUUUACAGGGAACUGUAUGAAAUUAUCCCAAGUUUUUAACGGUGUAUACUCAAUUAACUAACUCUAUUUACAAUACUAAAAGACUUGCGCAGCAUUUAUUAAAUAGAAUUAGACAUAAACAUGUGUAGAAUUGUUAUUUCCAAAGAAUCCAAACCCCCCUUUUUCUAAUUUGCAGUAAAACCUUGCAUUGUUUAGUAAAUGCCGAAGCAUUUCCUAAUUAUUAUGAGCACUUUUGACUGUUUCAGGGUCGGGAGAAACUCGGGGACAGACCACUCUUUGUACUUGUGGAAGCAGCGUGAGCAAUGCUCAUUUAAUUUUAUUGUUUGUUGAGUUACUUCCGUCGGAUAAUAUAUGCCAAAACAUUUCCCGAAAGCUAGGUCAAAAGAAACAACCAUCGUCAAUUGGCUAAUUCUCCACUUGGGAACAAUAAUGUAAGCUCCCUGUUCAAAUUUGUCUGGGGUCUUUUCGUAUUACAUUACUACGUCGUGUAAACUAUUAUUUAUAAGUUGAAAUAAGGGAAGAAUUUUAUGUGUUGUCUAUCUUUGGACUGCUCCGUUGUUCCUUUUUUCCAUUUAGAGUAGUAGUGGUUUCGCUUACAGGAUGUCAAUUCUUUUAUAAUUGGUAGUUCAAUUGGGCAUGUUGGGUACCGUCCUCACUCUUGGUUAGUUAUAUUUUCUUGACAGGAAAUAAAGAUUGUUGCUAAGCGACAUUUGGAUCAAGUACUUUGUGAUUGUGCAUGUAACAAACUGUGCUGGACUGGUCGUCCAUCUUGAAUGGCUAGCAUGGUUCCUGCCGCAGGUUCACUUAAGAGUGUUUGGUUGCAUGUAGUCGCAACUAAUCACAAUGUAGUCGCAACUGCUUGGAAAUUUAAAUUCGCUAUUUGAUUUUAUGCAUUUAAAUCCAACUAUCAUAGUUGAAACUAUAUUUAAAUUAGCCACAGCUCCAAAAAUAGUUCUAUAAAGUAAAACCUCCCUAAUAAUUUUCUAAUAAAAAAUAAUUAUUUUCUAUAUAAAAAAUAAUCUCACCAUCCUAUAUAUAUAUAAAAUAAUUAAAUUUUACAAAUGCACUCGUAAGUCACAUAUUAGCAUCAAAGUAUUGUUUAUAGUUGCUAUACUUUUUAUAAUACCCAACCAAAAAUAAUGUAUGUAAUUAUAAUUAUUGUAUUUUUAAUUAUAUACAUCUGGAAUUAUACUGAAUGUAUUAUUAUAUUUAACUAAAUGGUCCCUUAUGUGGAGGCAAGUAUAAAGGAAUUAAAAUAAUGCAGUGUUUAUUAUCCAUAAAAGAGAUCCUCAGAGAGCUUAAUUUAUCUACAAAUGAAUUUUAACACAAUACAUAAACUGUACAGUUGUCAUCAAUAUUACUACCUAAUACAACUGCCGUAUAACUCCAACCUCCUUUUUUCUGAUGUUAUUUGGUACAUACAACAAGAAACAGUAGUGCACAAGAUUAAAUCAACCCUACUCUCCGAUUCAUGGAAAGAAUCACUUAAUCAGCUUACACAAAACCUCCCUCUAUUUCUAACUCUAGAAAAAAUGAAAACGAAGGAAAAACAAAAAAAAAAAACGAAAAGAAAAAAAAAGGAACAGUGGUAGAGCACAUGGAAGAUGGUGUGGAUGCUACCAGCUAUGCAACUCAGGAUCCUCGAAAACUUUGAAUUGCUGUCGUGCAGUGACCAUUAAUAUUUAUGAGAGAAUCGAUUUCAAAGUUCCUUAGCAUGAGGCUUAGGCAAUGCACAGGGGUGAGGAUUUCCAUCAGUUGAAUUGAUACCGUUGAGAACAAUUGAUUCAGAGCUAGUUUUAGCUGAUGUGAUGCACUUUGAAUGUGGAGAAAGCAUAGUAGUAACUAUUUCGGCAUUGGAUGGCGGUGAAGUACACACUGCUGCUAGCUUUGAAGUCUCACUAUAAGAGUGGUUUGUUUUACUGUUAAAAGAGACAAAAUUAAUAUGGUUAGAUGAAUUACCAAAUGCAAGAAUAGGAACAUUUUUCUCGUAAUUAAUAAACCAACAUAGGUUAGUUAAAAAGAAAUUAGUGUCCAAAGUUGGAUCCCAAUUUCAGUAACAUCCUGACAAGUUUCAUCAGUUUUCUCAAUUUAGUCCUCAGAGCUUCGUCCAACAGACUUUUUGCAAAGGACCAAACUUCGGUUGUCAGAGGCUAAGUUGCUGAUAUUAAAACUCUUGAGGACCAUUUAUAUCGGGAUCAAACUUUACGAACUCAACUCAUAAUUAAGCCUAUUCACUAGCAACAAGAGAAAUUACUAGUGGUUACCCAUUGGCAGACGGUUUUCCUCUCACACACGAGUCGCUUUUAGAGGACUUUGUUUUGUCUCUAGGGUUACAUGUAGGAUCCUGUCCAGUAAUUGGAGAUAUAGGUUUAAAUAUACUUGGAGCUGCAAAAUUUGAAACAAUCUAAGAUUGAAUUGGAUAAUAUAACCCUUACAAUGAGCUUAAUCCCUGCAAACGAGUGUAUUGAACCAUGGAGGUUGUAGUGAUGUGAGUUCCGAAUAAACGGAUGGUCCAAUAGCAUGGUUGCUGUUGGCCUAUCCACAGGAUUCCUACGAAAGCAGCGCCGGAGAAAGUCCUUUCCCUCAGAGGAUAAUCUGUCAGGUAUUGGUGGGUCUUUGUGCAAAACCCUGAACAUAGCUGCAGCCUAGGACAAAUCAAAUUUAAAAAGGAAUAAGAAUUUUAGUGCUCACAACACAAACAAGCCAAGCGCUUGCAGCAGAUGAUAUUUCCUACAUAUAUAUUAAUAAACGGAGCCGAUCACAAUUGUAGUCCUCAGAAGUUGAAAAGUUUAAAAUAGGGUUUAUUUUCGAUUAAUUAUGGGUUAUAAUUGGGCUUAUUAACUGAAUCUUGAAAAUACCCCUCAGCAGUUUGAAACAUCAGAAAUACCCCUGUAAACUAGAUAUUCUUGAAUGAUUUGUUCUAAUUUUGACGGUACCCCUAAGUUUGAAAGUGUUGAAUAUAUCGCUCGCAAGGUUGGGAUACCUCUGUUACAUGCUUAUUCUUUCAUGAAUGCCCUUUACAGAGGACACUUAUUAAAAUCAAGCACAUUUUUAGGGCCUUUAUGAUACUCCGAGAGCAUUUCUUCAAGUAUUUUCAGUGGGUUUUUAUACUACCUUCAACUUUUGAUGGGCAUGCAUGAAAAUAUGAGUCAGUAGUAUACGUGCUUUUUUCCAUAAAUUAUCCUACAUCUCAAGCCAGAAGGAAAAACAGUAUUACCCCUUCAAGGCCACUCCAUGGAUGUUUUCCAGUGAACAUUUCAAUGAUGGUACAUCCCAAACUCCAAAUGUCUACAGCAAGAUCAUAACCAGCAUCUUUCUUCAUUGUAGCCUGUACAACCUGCAAUAGAGAAAAGCAGAGAGUGCAAGAGUUAUCAAGGAUGCAACGGCAACAAGUGUUGAUAUGAGUUGAGAAUUUAGUGGGUUAAAAUGCAAGUUUAAAGCCCCAGUUAUAUUGUGAUAAGCAUAUUAACCUUUCCUUGAGGUAAAGUGCAAGGUCUUCUAACAAACCGAGGGGUUAUUUGUAGACUUUGAUUAUUGAAAAAGGUAGAGUGCAUAUUGCAACAUAUCCAGGGAUUUUUCUUCAGCUAAGCCAAUUCGGAACCAGAGAAUAAAGAACCUGAGAGUUCAGAUAAAAUGUACCUCGGGAGCCAUCCAAUAUGGUGUUCCCUUCAAUGAAAGAUUGGGUGCAGCAUCACUCAACUGCAGGAACAAAAAGAAAAGGGUCGUACAAAUAUGUUAGUCAUUCUAUUUUUCUGGUCACAAAUGGUGAGCUACUAAUGGAAAAUCUCUAACAACAAAUUACUUAAUCCAAUAAUUUAGAUAUAGAAACCUGGCAGGUUUCUGCAUAGAAAUCUCUACUUUGAGAGGCAAAUUACUGUCCUGAAAUGAGGAUUACCAAUUAUUGUGGAGUGAGUUCUUGCUUAUGAGAUUCGUGUAGGUAAAGUUGAAUUAACAUACCCACAUACACAAAGAGGACAGUCCUUCAUCUAAGAAUUACAUAAAGCUAUAAAAAAGCCAACACUCACAUGUUUCGCCAUCCCAAAAUCAGCCAACUUGACAACACCAUUUGCAUCCACAAGUAAAUUGGCUCCUUUAAUAUCCCUGCCAGAAGCAUUUACCUUUUUAGGGUACGAAAAUUCAAGUUUGACCUCAAUAUUAUGAACAGAAAGUCCUUUUACGAUACAAACACACAAAGAGAUGCACAUCCACACAAAUAUUCUCUCCCUCCAUUCUCUCUCCCUCCCUCCCUCCUCUCUCUCUCUCACACACACACAUACGCAUUACGAUACAAACACACAAAGAGAUGCACAUACACACAAAUGCACUCUCCCUCCCUCCAUCACACACACACAAGAAGGGACAAACAUCUCUCUCUAGAAAGGCUAUCGUACAUAUAGGACAAAGAACAAAAGAAAAGAUGCAAGCUAAUUAUUUCUGCUCAAAUCUGGAAUAAAGGUACGUACCGAUGCAUUAUCUUCUUGCUAUGCAAGUAAGUCAGUCCAUUAAGAAUAUGACGAGUGAAAUUACGAACCACUGAUUCUGUCAUAGCUCCACAAUGUUGACGGACGUAUUUGUUGAUUGAACCAGGAUGAACAUACUCCAAGUAUAUGUGAAAACGAUCAUCAAUCUGCAAGCAUAGAAUAAUUAAAUCCAUUAAAUUGCAUUUACAAUAACUUCAAGAGUUCCAAAUAUAAAUCCAUUAAAUUGCAUUUGCAAUAACUUAAAAGAGUUCCAAAUAAAAAAAAAAAACAGUAAAGAAAGCUCACAAUUUCACUCCCAUAAUAUUGCACUAUAUUUUGAUGCUUGAAUUGACUAAGAAAUUUUAUUUCCUGCAAAAAGGCAAAAGAAUUGAUUAAACCCACUCUUCAAGCAGCAAUAAAAGAUGAAUCGUUAUUCACAAUCAUUACAAGAAAAAAGAGGAAAACAUUUAAACAGUAAAGUGAUUCAACAAAUAACCGAAAAGUCAAGAAAGUACAUCUUCUCUAUUUGUAGCAACAUCUUUCCAAUUCAUGUCACCUCCAGAAAAUAACUAGUCUUAAAUAUAUUGAGUUACUAUUCAUCUUGGAUUCAAAGUAAACUGACUGUGAUCUUCACCAGAAUGUGACUCUUGGAUGACAAAAAGAACUAACCUGCUCUAACUGCUUCAAACAUUCUGCAGAUUUGGAGUCGUCCGCAAUAAUAUUGACUUCCUUCAUUGCACACAAAGCUCCAGUUUGCCUACAAAAAAGACAAUAAUAUUAAAAAAAAAAAAAGUAAUGGUUCAAUCAAAAAGAGACCAGUGCAACCCUGCAACUUUGUCUAGUCACACGUAUACUGUUGUGAAAUUGAGAUUUCAUAUAGCUAUUUGACUUAAUUUAAAUACAACAAUUACCUUUUCUCCCAAAAAAAAAAAAAAAAAAAAAAAAAACAACAACAACAACAACAACAGAUACCCAUCUUCACAAAACCCAACUUUCCCCAUGAAUUGGAUGACUCCCCAUCUUACGGGUAUUUGUGAAAGCAGCUACAUUAUUGAGGGUUACACAUAUCAUAUCAUUCAGAUUUUGCAGGCUUACCUAUGUAGACCAAUGAUAUUGCAGGUGUACAUAUAGAAAAGCCCCAAUUAAACAAAAAAAGAGAAAAAAAUGAGAACAGCCAUCAAGCAGGACAUACCUAUUGGUGGCAACGUAAACAUUCCCAAAUGUACCACUCCCAAUAAGUUUCCCUUUUUGCCACUGACCGGUCAUUGGAGAAGCCUCAGCUUUCAAUGCACUUCGAUGAGCAGCAGGGGAAUGCAAAGGAACUGCGGCUCCAGGAGGGAGAGGCAGUGGGUGAACAUUAGCACUCCCAUUACUGUCAUGCCGCAAAACAGAAUUAUCUGGAAACAUUUUAGAAUGGACUGGUGAUGGGGGAGCACUCGAAUCGCUUGAUCUCCAUAUUGUAUUCUUUGUUGUUGGACUGUAACGGGCCGAACGGCCAGAAUUACUGAAAAUUCUUUCAGGUGAAGUUUGGCACGAGAGAGUAGUUGUUGUUGAAUCCAUGGAAGGGAUUGCCGGAGCUGACCAAAUAUUAAGUCCGUUACUUGAUCUUCGAGGGCUCCGAACUGGGCUUGCAAGCCCACUGGUUGGAGCACUUUUUGCAGGUAUAUUCAAUUUAAAAUCCUCCGUUUCAGUUGUAUCCAUGUCCUGGAAUAGCUUUCGAUGAUGAUUAUAGGCUGAUCCAUUUGAUAGUACAUCACUGCCCCCUGUACUUCUUCGAGCAGUUUGGUAUGCCAACCUAACAUGCAUCACAAGAAUAAUUAUGAGUUAUAAGGUCCUAAAAGGUACCAGCAUAAUGCUACAUAACGAACCAAAUGUGAAACAAAAUCAUUUGGCUGUUCACUAUCAAUUACAGAACCCGGCUACUGAAUGUAUUUAUUUUGUUAUGAGAAAGAAAAGUGAAAUAUUUGGCUUAUAUUGAAAAAGGCCGUUGAAACAAUUGAAGAAGCUGUUAAGAACAAGCAAAGGAUAAUGCAAUAAACAGAAAAGCGGUAACUUUUGAACAGGAGCACUGAGUAAAACACAGGAUAAUGCAAUAAACAGAAAAGCAGUAACUUUUGAACAGGAGCAUGGAGUAAAAUCUCUGAGUAACAAUCUAACGCAGGCCUAAGCCGCGUUGAGAGGGAAGAAGCAUAAGGACAGAAAGAGAGGUAUGUGAAGAACACAAUUCUUCGACAAAGGGAAAAAUAUUAUUGAUCAACUCUAAAAACUAAUUACAUUAACCGUACGCCAAGGAUUUAAGUGCCGUGGCACGGAGUCGUGCCAGAAACUUGCCGGCAUGGUAUGGCAUGGUGCGUGCCGGGCCAUGCCGAUGCGUGGCGGUCACAAAAAAUGUGUGUGCCGACAGGUAAUGGCAUGAAAUAUUUAUUUUCUUUAGCAACAAAAUAUGCCAGUUAUUUAUUAUGUAUUUUUAUCAAAUUUUUUGAACUUUAUUGAGAAAAUUACUUAUUAAUGUCAAGAAUAGAGGGUUUUGAGUUGUGUCAUCGGCACGGGGGCUGUAUCGUGCCGAUAUCUUGCUGGCACGGUGAAUACAGCCCGUGCCGAUGGGCACUUUAAUCCUUAUCGUACGGCGUACGCCACAUAUAUAUAGAAACAAAACCUGAAUCCUACUAUGAUAGAAGAUAAUAAAAUAUAUAUAUAUAUAUGUCUAAAUCUAAACCAAUAAGAAAUAAGUAAAUAACUAGACUCAAAAUAGAAAAAAUACAAAACUUCCCAAAUAUAUCCUAAAAAUGCAAAUUCGGAGCCCUAAAUAGUUAAAUUGUCUUGAAAAGUGUUUUCCAAAUUGAAAUUGCACGUUGAAAACGGACACCCGAGCGAAAAUUUAUGGCCGUUUAAAGAUUUUUCCAUGCCGAUUGUAAAAACUGCCGAACUCAAUAUGAUUUUUGGCCUAGCUUGGUUAAGUCACGCUUUUCCAUGAAUUCUAAUGCUAAAUUGGCCGCAUCACAAUCAUUUACCUUUCAUCUUAGACUAGCAAGAAACUUCUGCUUCAGUGAAACAUUUAGGCUUCAUCUAUCUAGACUUCUUCUUUUUUAAAGCUCGAAUUUUACAUGAUUAGAUGCAUCUGGAUAUACUUGAUUUUCUUCCUGUUGUUAGUUAGCUUGCAAUGCGACUAGGCAGGUGAAAAGCAAAGCAAAAACUGCCAAUACAGACUCCUUUGGAUAGAAGGCUUUUUUUGUUUCUCUCAAUUGAAAUUCAGUUGUUAGCAGAUGGCGGAUUGCUCACAGUCCAUGCAUCUAAAAUUUUUAAACAAGAAGCUAUCCUGCAUCCAGCAGCGGCUACCGCAAGUGACAAGAAUAGAGAAGUCUAUCUGCUGACACACUUAAUCACAUAAAACUUGCAUUUAAGACCAACACGGUGCUACCUUUUUGCAUUUCUGUUUUAAAUGACAAACAUAGGUGUAUAGAUUGCCAACUUUCUGCUGCCUGGCCAACCCAUUUAAUGGCAUAGACCUUGAGUUUAAAUAUUUGAAUAAACACAAGCAAAAUCAAACAAGGUAUUACUAUGUAAAAAAGGAAAAGGCAUUGACCAAGAGAAGACAUCAAACAUUUUCAAAUGGAGAACCAUCAAACCACAAUAGCGAAUUCCCACAUGAAUUAUAGCCAACAUCACCACCACCACCACCACCACCACCACCACCAAACCACCAUCGCCACCACCAGAGCAUAUGUACCCAUCACAACAACCACCAUCGCCACCACAACCAGAACUACCACAGGUUGGUUGGACUGCCGAGAAACUGUAAACAUUUUCGAAAAUUCCACCACUACCACCACCUUUACUACCAUCAGUGAAGGGCAACCAUUAGCAAUACCAACACAAUCACUACCGCUGCCACUAUAUGUUAAUUGACAAUAACCAACGAUACCGCUGCUUAUGUUAAUUGACUAUAAUCAACGAUACCGCCGCUACAAAUAAACCGCAACUGCUUGGGAACCCACACCAUCCGCCAUCAACUCCCUCACUACCAUUAAACUUAUAGCUCAUUCCGAACAGUCAAUUUCAUAGGAAUGAAUGAACCUUCUUUUCCUUCCAAACAAAUGAACUCAACUCUACAAUAUUCAAUUCAGUUAGCUUUUAAUUACAAAUCACUUCAAUUCUAUCUGAAUUCAACCAUAAGUUACAAUUCCGACCAAAAACUAGUAAAUCACUUGAUAAUGCAAUACGAUUAGAAAAGAACACAAAAAAAUUUCGCUUACCUCCCAACAGGCGAUACCGACGAGGCCCUCUCGCCUCCGACCGGCUCACUGAGAGACAAUCGCACACAAUCCCUCGCCGAGACAAUCCCCGCCUCUCCCUCCGCUCUACCCGGCCACCCUCUCGGCGAAGGGAGGGGGCAACCGACGGAGCUCAAUUGGGCGGCAGCAGCGGCGGCCUCCGGAAGCGGAAGCGGGUGCGGUGACAACACCGGCGGCGACGAAGACGACCUCGGCGGCGGCGGGGAGCGAACGGGGUCGGCGGAGGAGUCGAAGGAGGCCAAGGAGCCGAGCUCGGCGUCGUCGAGGUAGCGGAGCUUGCGCUGGCGCGUGAGGCGCGGCUGCGACUCACGGCCGCGGCUCGGCGACGCGGCGGAGGAGACGGAGGAGGCGGUGGAGGAGGAGGAGGAGGAGGGGGGGGGAUUGGAGCUCUUCCACCAACGCAUCUCGACGCGGGUGGAGGAGGAACAUCGUAAGCGGGGCAAAGUGGGGGAGGAGACGAAACCCUAACCUUAACCCUAGAACAUGUCACUUCGCCAUGAUCGGGGGUGGGGAACGGAACCCUAGAUCGGGGACGAGCGGGUUGAGGAAGGAAGACGAGACGAACCCCGUCUCUCUCUUUUUUAUUUUUUUUUUCAUAUUCUUUAUUUCUUGCGCAACAAUAUUUUCCGUAGACCGAUCUGAGCACGUGACCAUGAACUAAACGCGUACUGAGCGAAUCCUCCGCUUAUGAAUGGACGACGAAGUGUAGGUGGGACGGGGUCUAGUAGACGGGGUCCACCUAAUUGACUACGUGGCGCACGUGGGUGUUGAGGGUUAUGGAUUUAGCAGAGGCGGUUCGAAUCCUCGCUGUGAAAAUCCAACGACGGCAAAAGCACGAAGUUGUUUUGGUUGUUGUCUCGUUGAACAGCUCAUACAACGGCCCGGCCCGGCCCGGCCCGUUUCCAAUUUAUUACCGUAAUGAGACUCGUUAUUGGGCCGGCCCAUUUGAAGAGCAAAUUUUCUUCUUUUUUUUUUUAAGGUUUUUUUUAGUAUAAAUAUCUACAUGCAAAAUACAUGAAAGGAAAAUGCUAAGACAAGUAGAAAAAUCCUUUAUUUUUUGAAACUUUUUUAUAAAAAUAACAAGGGAUAAGACAAGUCAAAAAAUUUACAUCCUAUAAAAGCUUAGGGAUAAGAUUUAGACCUUUGAUAUAGUGAUAUUUGCCUACGUAUUACUAAAUAUCUUUUUUUUUUUAUUUGCGUCGCUGCACUUGUCUAAUUUUUUUAUAUAAAUUUUUUAGAAUUUUUAAUAGACCUGCUGAUGUGAACAUGCAUGCCAAUAAACAAUAAUUAUUUGCAAGAAACCAGUGCAAAUAAAUACCAACUGUAGGGAAAUGCUUGUGCAUUUUAUUUUAUUUUUAUUUUGCAAGGGUAUGUGUGAAAAAAAAAAAAAGAAGAAAUGAUUCAUUGUUGCCUAGACCACGUGACGCGAUAAUGCAAAGGAAAAUAAUAAUAAUAAUAAUAAACUUAAGCUUACAUGCCCUCGUACAAAUCAUGCGAGCACAUCGUGAGGCAUUAUUCUCGGCCCAUUUUUCAAAUGUCUUAAUUACUGAAUAAUUAAACAAAUAAAUCCUAGCCAUCUAAUGGGCGUUCACUCGGAGAGUCGACCAGCUAGUAACAAUAAUUUAUUAGAUCCAUAAUCUCUUAUAUAUCUAAUCAUAAUCUAAUUCUCAAAAUUAUCAGGUGAUAACCGACCGUUCCUAGAACAAGUGGCAAAGGACUUGGUGGUUGAUAUUGGAGACCCAAGUUCGAAUCUUAGUUGAUUCAUAUUUUCAGCUAAGUUUAUUUCUAAAUGAAAUAAAUGAAGCGGGUAACGUGCCACCUAUCUCUCUCAAAAAAAAAAUGAAGAAAGAUUAUUAGAUGAUAUAAGACUUGUUUGAUUAGCAACAGUCCAAGAUUAUCAGAUGAUAUAAGAGUAUUCGAGACCCAAGUUCGAAUCUUAGUUGAUUCACAUUUUCAGCUAAGUUUAUUUCUAAAUAAAAUAAAUGAAGCGGGUAACGUGCCACCUAUCUCUCUCAAAAAAAAAUGAAGAAAGAUUAUCAGAUGAUAUAAGACUUGUUUGAUUAGCAACAGUCCAAGAUUAUCAAAUGAUUUGAGACUUGUCUUGUUAGUUUUGUAUUCUAAUUCAGCCUAUCACCUUGUGAUUUUGAUCUUGACUUAGCAUGUCCUCUUAUAUAUCCAAUCAUAAUCCAAUUCUCAUCUAAUGUGGGACUAUAUAUAGGCCAUGACGUCUCACACACACAGCCCAAAAUCCAAUGAUGUGAGAUUUGUUUGACUAGCUACAGCCCAAAAUCAUCAUGUGAUGUGAGGCUAGUCUUGUUGUUUUGUCAGUUCGAUCAUGACUUAGUUUGUCAUCCUACCAUUUCAAUUGUGGCUUAGUCUGUUAUUCCGACCUACUUCUGACCGGUAAUCGACUUUGAUAUCAAAUAUAAUGAUCCGAUCCACUAAUAAUAAUAACUUGUUACGUCUAAACCACUAGUUCAAAAUAUUUAAAUCUAAUUAUUAUUAUAUUACUAGUGUCCAUAAUCUCUUAUAUAUUCAAUCACAAUUCACCAUCUAUUCACUACGAAAUUAUUAAAGUGUCACACAAAAUCAAAAAAAUUCAAUUACACA